CAUAUAGAGGAAGAUAAGACAAGACAAGAAAUAGAACUUCAUGGGGCAUCCCUUCUUGUUGGAGAGGAGUAUCUGAGGCAUCUUGCACUAAGUUCUCUUCCAUAUGUGAAGCUGGUACAAACUCAUCAGUUGACGGAAAGGCCAGGUUUUAAAGGAUGAAGGACAAGGCUUCGUUAUCUUUUCGAACUCCUAAAUUAAGUCCAGACAAGAAGAAGAUGAUGUAGAAGAAGGCUGAAGAAAAGAGUACUUGAAGGAGGAACUUUACGUGUCCUAAAUUGCUUGGUUGAGAAAAUUUGUCGAGUAUCCCAGUUAGGCUGUGUUUGGCUCCUUCAUUUUUAGAAGAAUUAAUUCUCUAUAAUUUGCUCCCAAAUAAAAAAAAAAAAAUUAGAUUAAAUCUCUGUUGAAUUACCAAAUAUUUAGCAAUUAUAUAUCGAUUUUAGAUUCUUGCCAUGCCAUACACCUUUGUAACUAGGACGUCAAUAUCUCCAGAUUUAUAAUCCUAGCUUAUUUGAGAUUCCAAGGAGGAACAUGUUUGAACAUCAGAAACUCGCAACAGACUUUUCAUAUGCGAAAUAUUUUGAUCGGAUGAAAAAUAUAUCUCUUUCUACGAGCAGAAAAUGCAGUACACAUAAAUUGUUACUUUUGGUCAUCAACCAGAAUUGUGGAGUUGAUGAAGUGCUUUAGACAGUAUGUCUAACUGCUGGAUUGUUCAUCUUCAAGAUUCUACUUCAAGAAUUCAUGAAACAUUCAAACUUCUGCAAUUAAUCCUAUGGACUUUAAAGGAUAGUUAAAAACACUACAUUUUCCUCCUUUUCCUCUUUUCAAUAGGUCAGUUAUCAGAUACAACACAGAAACGAAGGCAGAGAAGAAUUACAUAUUGUCCAUUUCUUUCUUCUUCUUUUUUGUUUUUCUUUUUCCCUUCAGCUUUGUACAUAAGGUUCUCAGUUUCAAAAGGCAUUCAGGAUUCAAGAUCUUUGCAAUUACAGAGUAUAAUAUAACCAUGAGUUUCAACGGUCUAAUGGUUCAACAGCAGUCUUGAACAGAAGAACGUAGACCUUAUCGAUUGAGAAAUACAAAAAACCUCCAGUGGAAUGUGUCACGUAUGAGCCAAAGCUUGUUCCAACAAUGCAAUGCCAAGCCGGACCAUAUGUUGAAUCAAAUUCCUGUUAAGGCCAAUACACAAACCAUUAUCCAGUAGUCCGAAGUUGUCUACCAUAUGAAAUUGUACGACUGUAAAAACAAUGCAUUCUCAUGAGACAUAUCGUUGAAAUAAAAAGGGAGGGAUAUAAGCAAUCUAGUCUUGAUUCUACCAUAAUUACCUCUGGACGAACAUUGGAAUUAGUUGCAGGAAUAAGAAGUGGAGUAUCAGAGUUACCAAGGUAUCUUUAAGAAACAUCCCUAAAAAAAAUUCUAUGUCAAGCUUAAGGUUUCAGACUAUGAAGCUGGCCGAAUAAAGAAAACCUUCCCGUGAUCAUAUAGGAAGAUAAUUGCUAACAUACUAACAUAAUUCUACCGAAUUUUUUUAGACCCUGAUUAUAUGAAGUUCGAGCUGUACAAUACAAGACAGAAGACAAAGUCCUCAUACUCUAAUAUGUUUUUGCUACAAUGAAACAUGCAACAUGAAAAUUGACAUUCUAUGAUGAUCUAUAUUUGGACUCAAAAAGUCCCUCACAUGAAAAUAUUUAGUUCUUAUUAGACAUGCAUACUGAGUAAUACAUUUGAGUCGAGAGAAUAAUUUGAGAGGCUUCAGUAUAUCCUUAUUAACAAGGAGUACACAAAAGUAAACAAAACGAAGACAUAAUUAAGUUGAGACCAACAAAGAUGGGCAUCAAGGGCUCAUUGCAUCUAAUGAUGAUAAAAUGAGGUACGCCAUCCAUCAUUUCAGAUCAAGUGUUUGCUGUCUGAAUCAUAGUUCCUGAGAUGUUAUUUUCAAGAAAUGAUCUAAGAUGCCAAAUUGCACAUGCUACACCCUGCAAAGGGCACAAUCAUGAACAUCACCUAGAAGAAGGGUUUGGGAGGCCGUAUCAUUAUUACCAACUGCUUCCCUCUGCACUGUUGGUCAAUCAAACAAGACUCAGUUUGAUUCCCCAUUUAUUUGACUUAAAAGAAUGGAAACCCAAGAAAAUGGUAAAAAAAAAAAAAGAGUCCUUCAAGGCUAAUUUUACUGGCCAAAAUGACACCCCAAACAUAUUGCCAGAAGGAUAGCAAAAAAAUUAACAAAGAUAAUAGAAAGUCAUUGAGUUACAGGUACAGAAACUUGAGGUGGAAUGGUUCCAUUAAGGAUGCACGGUCCCUAUUACCAAUUAGCAAAACUGUGCAAUAUGUGAUCUUAUUAAGACUUCCUUUGCCGAUGUCACGUCAAUUCUCCUGCUUCAAUUUAGAUAGUUAAAUUUUUCUUCAGAUUGGCCUGCCUAUAACUUGUCAAGUUCAUGAAACGACAAUGAUGUAUUACAGCACAUAGCAGCUUGUACCAAUACUUGUAAAAAGAAGUAAAUACAGGGUAAAUAAACACCUUAUGAGCUAAAAAAAAAGAAAAAAAGGAAACAAUGCUGGCAAAAGAGAAAUAUGGUUGGAAGUACUUACCCCAAAAAAAAAAAGCUCGGAAGUAAUCAAUCCUCUAAAAACUUUACCAGCAGGAUUUUAGUCCUUUGGCAAAGAGAUUCAGCAAUAGCAAUGAAACUAACUCUCGAUUUUCAUAGGAAAUACAACCAUCAACAUAACUUAUUGCUGAUACCAAACAGCAGGAUUGGCUCAAAAAAGCAUGCUUAUAUUUUCCUUUCAAUAAAUUUGAAACAUGAAAGCAAAGAACUCAACAAGAAUGAUGAAGCUCAGAAAAUGAAGACUACACAGCCAAACGAUAUACACAUAUAUAUAGUUUUUAAAGUAAUUCCAGAUAUUCUUUAGGCGCAAAUAACACAAAUUUCGAAAUUUGAAAUGCAAGCUGCACAUUUUGGAAAACAUAACUCACUGCCCAAUGAAAUUUCCUCAUAUUAUGUCAAAAGACAUUUCACUUGCAGUAUAUAGUGUCAAAUGUACAGCCUGCAAAGUAUAAUCUCAAAUGCGAUAACAAACGUGGUCCAAAAACCAUAUUGCCACAAAUAUAAACAGGGAGGAGGACAGUGAUCUAGAUGUUGCAUUAACACCGAGCAAUCACCAUGUUAAACUAACCAGAAUAAUCAAGUAUCCAAGAAAAGCAGCCAGAUACGAACCAAAGUUGAAAAUACGAGUUUUCUAUUGAUUCUGCCCUUAGAUAUUAGCAAUCAAUCAGACCAGCAACAGCAAGAUAAAUAUAUAAAGUAAAGCAUUCCCUUAACAAAAAAAGAAUCUUUGGCACGAUGUCAUUAAGUAAAGUCAUCAAGAAUCUUUGGAGAACCAAAAAAGAACAUAUUGGCACAAUGUAGUCCAAUUAAGAGAAAAAUACACAAUUAUAAAUAAAGAAUUCUAGGUAUCUAGUAAGGGUGCCAGCAAUCAAUCAUUUCUUUGCAGUGAGCUAAGGGUAGCUUAUAUGCUAAGGCCACCCCUCACCAAAGCAAUAUGUCACUGUUGACUCUAAUUAUUCCAUCACAGCACCCUAAUAUCCUUCCCAAUGUCAUGUACUCCAAAGGAAAAAAAAAGAAGAAAGAGGAUUCAUUUUCGAUGCAUCAAAUUUACCAUAAUUGCACCAGAGAGAGAGAGAGCAAUCUAAAAACGAGCCUUAUUAAUAGAUUAAGCAGAUAACAUGAAUAAAAUCAGUACCCCCUUGCUCUGUAAACUCAAACAAGCAAAUAAAAGUCCCACAAAUUUUUAUACCAAGAAACUACAAAAAAUCAAGGUUCAUCAAAGAAAAUCCAAAAGAUUGAACAAUCUAGAGACCAGAAGCUAAAAAAUUAGUACUACUACAAGUAUGUAGUUUGUGCAGUAGCUGUUAUACCUUCUUGAGAGAAAGAGCAAGGCGUUUACUAUCCAGCUUCCCUUUAGGCAUGGAGUCAAGAUUGUUUCUAGCGCAAUUAAAGGCGUGGUUCUGCAAAGACACCGCCAUAUCAGAAGCUCUCAAACGUACAUUCAAUCGUUCAUGCUGCUCUUUUUGCUCCACAGCUUUCUUCUUCAGUAUUAAGCUGUUCAAGAACUUGCUUCUUCGCUCCAACUCUGCCUCAGCUGCCUCCAUUUUCACCUUCAGCACCCCUUCAUUUAAAACUCUAUAUUCUCGCAAGAUUUCCAGAUAUGGGAUUGCUUUUAUUUCAUUUUAUUUUAAUUUUUUUGUUUCUUCCAGCUUGAGGGAUUAGAGUUAUUUUUGGUGAGGUGGUUAAGAAGAUUAGGAAACAAGAGUCUCGAGUAUAGUAGCUGAACAGCACUGCACUUUUUUGUUGUUUGUUUUUGGCAUAUUUUUCGGACAUUUCGUUUCUUUUAAGACAGUUGUUGCGUGGAUACGAGGUCGUUGGGGACGCCAAAAUUUUGUUUAGGCGGAAAUUCUGGUCCAGCAUGGGCUAUAGAACCUGUUUGUCUAUGGUUUUUUACAUUUCUUCUUUUUCUCUAGGAGUCCUGUUAUAAUUUUUUUUUGGUUAUUAAAGUUCUCUUAAAAUACUGAAUUCAACAAUAUUGAAAAUUAAUCACCACAAGCAAAGUGAGCAGUUAUUAUUAAGAAGAAAUAUCGAUUUUAUCCUUAGAAAGUAUUAAUUUUGCGCUGUUAAUACUUUUCUCUUACCUUUUAAUGUUAUCCAGGUAAAAAAAUAUCUUUUUCGCCAUUUAACAAUUAGUUUACGUUUCCUUUAUUUCUUUUACUCUCUCUCUCUCUGUAAUUUUUGAACAAUGGGUCUUCUAGGUCACCGUCUUUGAAAUAUGUAUUUGGUCAAUUGAUUCUCAAUGUGUGCAGUAGUUGCCAGUCAGUCCUAAUGAUGCUUUACUUCCUAUCUUUGGGAAGUUAUUGGACCAAAAUUCUUGAUGAUUUUGGGUUAAAAUGUGAUAAUUGUCGAGCAUAACUAGAUAAAUCAUCGAAUAAGUUUGAAUAUAAUUUAUGUUUGGAUUGUAAUUUUUUAUAAAAAAAAAAAAUUACAUUUUUUUAAUAUAUUUUUUAAUAAUCUUUUUUCUUUAUAUACAUCAACUGAUACAUUAUAUUGUUCUGUACAACUGGUUGUAGUAUCGGUAAUGGUCAAUAUAGCACACGGACAUUUGGCAAGUGCCAAAUUGCCAAUACAAAAAAAAUCUUAUUUUGGCUCUUUUUACAGUAACAAUACACAAGUCAUUCCUACACUAAUCUCUCUUCCUUUGAGUUCUUUCUACCGUAGAACUUUGCAUUUUUAAUGAAUGACCUUUCUUAUUGUUUUUAUCUUAGAUUUUUGGUAUCAUAAAAAUGAGGGAGGUUGUGUUCUGCUAAUAAAUAUCCUCAAGAAGAAAAUUAAGGGGGUUGUGCAUGUCCGGAACAUUUUCAUACCAGAGUUAACCAUUUGUCAUGAUCGACAGGUAAAAUGCAAUGAAUUUGCUUAAUAAGGACAUUACUUUGUGAUUCGGAGCAAGUACUUGCUAGGAGUGUAAAUGACUAAAUGAGUUUAACACUAAUAUUUAAAUUUGUUUGAUUAUUUUAACGAGUUUAAAAUUACAUUCAAAUUUAGUUUAUUUAUUUAACGAACUGAACUCAAACUAACUUUUAUCAAGCAAGUUUAAAUAGUUUGUAUUUUUUACUCAAAAAUUAGAAAUUUUAUAUUAAUCGAGUCAAAUUUAAUCCGAGUUUGAAAGUUUAUUGAGCAUAAAAUACUAUUUAAGUUUGAUUUGAUUGGUUCAUAUUAAAUCCAACUCGAUUAAAAGUAUCGGAUAGUUUGAUUCAUUUUUCAAUCCUAACGCUAAUAUAUUAGGCUGAGAUUACAUAACAAGGAAGCAAAUUUGUCAAAACUACUAGAAUAUAAACCAGGAAAACAUUGAAUGGAUGGUAAAUACUACUAUCACUUCAGUGAUAGCACGAAUAAUGAAAAGGAGAAAAUAAAACAAGAAUGGGGCCAAUUGCCAAGCAAGCAAGGACUAAAAGCAGAAUGAAAAUAUGAAAAGAGACCGCAGAGCAUCAAUGUUUGAUAGAUAUUGGUCAGACAAAGUAAGCGGAAGUCACGGGAAAAGCUGUGUGCAGGGGCCCUUCUAGUUAUUUAGACCUCCACCUUUGAAACGUGGUCGGUUCGGUUUAUUCCUAGGGUUAGAUUUUGCAUUUUGUCUGAUUCUUUCCACAAUGUUAUGCUUCUAUGCAGCAAUGAGGCAUGCAUUUGACCUUGUGGUGUUCAAUGCUUUGACGAUUUGGCCUUGUUUGAAAAUUCAUUUUUUUUCCAAAAAAUUUUUACAUUUUUUUGAACACAUUUCUUAAUAUUUUUUUAUUUCAUGUACGUCAAAUCAUCACAGUAUAUUUUUCUUCAAAAAUUCCACAAAAAAAAAAAAAAACAAUCGGUCCUAAUUAGUAUGAUAGAAUUGUAAUCAUCGAUAGGAAAAGAGCACUUACUCUAGUGCCCAUUUCACCAUUUUCAAAUACUAGUUAAUACUUGUCUUAUCAGCAUUUCACCAUUUGAAAAUGUCUAUGCUACCUUUUGACACUUAAUUCUUCACAAUUGACUUUGAAGGCUCACAAAAUUGUCUAAAAAAGAAUAUAAAGUCACAAGAAGAUUAAUUGUUUGUCUGGUUUCUAAGCAAAACUAAGACAAAAAUGAAUUGAGGAAACAUGUAAACUGAACUCCAAUUUCAGCACCCAUUAUUGUUUGACCAUCUUCAUUUUUCAACAAAACUUCUAUUCUAUUUGAGAAAAAAUAUGACACGAACACUCCCUUUUGCAUUUCAUAUUUCUACACACUUUCUCUCUUAAAAAAUAUAGAAUACCAAUUUGCCAAAGUUGGAAUGAUUUGAUUCCCUACAUUGUUUAUCCAUAAAGCUACCUUCUUCUUCAGGUAACUUCAUAAUUACUAUGUUAAGAUGUUGGGAAGGGUUGGGUUGGAUGAUAAAGUAGAAGGGAUUAAAAGAUUUUGAAUUUAAAAUCUUCUACUUAAAAAGGAAAAAAAGAUGCUUAUGUGAAAAAAAGAAGAAGUUAUGAUGCUUAUGUAUUUUCUUGCCAAUAGACUUUCAUUCUACAUAGCUUGAAACCUAGAUAAGGUGCAAUUCCAGUACUUAUUUAUAGAUUAUUAGAGGUCAACAUUUACUGACUGAAAAUUUUCGAUUGGAUAGCAACCAGAGAAGUGAAAAGAAAAAGGAUAAACAACCCAUAAUUAAAGGGAUACUAUAUUAAAGAGGCCACAUCAACUUCUCACGUGAUGGUGCCUUUGGGCAUUAUUGAAGUGCCUGUUGACUGGAUUGCCGUAUGAGCAAGGUUCAAGAAUUUCCCUAUAGGGCUUUUACAAUUGCAUCUUUAGGCAGGCCUACCGCAAUAUCAAAAUUUUCAUCCCUCAAAAAACGAAUAUAUGAUUAAUUAAUGAGCUUAGAAGUUAGAGCUUUCUAACUUUAAUUAAUCAUGGGACAACUAAUUGAUUGUUUGCUAGAAUUAUUUCAUGACUAUCAUUUUCAAACUCAAAUUUUCAGUAGCUUAUCUUCACUAUGCUUGGAAAACAGUGAGUCUAUGGAAUCGUCUAGAUCAUUUGCGUGAGAUACAAAAAUAUAAAAUUCACUUUUGAACCAACCUUAUUUAUUAAAAUCUUCCCGACAUUAGCCAGACGAUUAUGAGAUUAUUUCUUUGAUUUUUAGUACCUUUCAUUUUUCUUUCCCUUUAUAAGGUUUAGAUUCUCCCAUAAAGCAAAUAAAUAUUACUUCAUCGAGGUCGGUUGUAGCCCUGCCAAUCCUAUGGUUGAAUGUUUUUUAAAGUAAUGUGGUGCAUAAGAAAAAUGAUGGAAUAAUGACUAUUGCAAAGUAAGAUUUAUAUACAGUGAUUUCUUCUUUGCCACUAACAAGGAAGAUAAAGAGUUUGUAAGCCUGUGGAAGUUUUUCUCCAUAAAUACUUCGAAUCUAGUGACUUGCACAUUCCUCGACCUAUCCUGUCAUUACACUGCAUUAUUCUUCAUUACAGACAAAUUAACUUGAAAUUUCUCAAUACAUUCUAUACAAGAUCAUUUAAUUUCUAUUCAAUCUAUAGAGCCCUUUUCAACGCGCCAUAUAUAUCUUCAGCUGAAACAUUCAAGUCAAUAGGCUCGUUUUCUGUAGCUAAUUUGCCUUUCGUUGAAGUAAUUUUGCCACCAACUUGAAGCCCACCACUGGUUGAUGUAAGAUCACGAUAGCUUUGAUGCCUGGUCAUUGUUUUUCCCGCAAAAAUCCCAUCUCUCAUUGAAGCCGGAGGCCAAGAAAGUAAACCUUUGCCUUCACUAGAUUUUGUUCGUAAUAACCAUGCACUUUUGUCUUUAGCUGUCUGAAGGGUUUGCAACUUUUUUUCUGUCUUGCUCACUGACGCAUUUGCAUAAUCAGCUUUAGCAGGCUGUAUCCGCUUGACAUGAUUCGCUGAGGGUGCUUCAUACAAUGUUAACCAGUUGCUUAAUGGAUGAACAGGAAGUUGAUCAUUGGUGGCUGGCGGAAAAAGCUGACAUUUUGUGGUUUCUGCUUCUUCAGCUUGCAAGUUCUGCCCAUUUAUUGUCCUUGGAACCUUCGCUUAAGAGCAAUUAGAAUCUAGUUGUAGUACAGAUGUUGAUAUUGGUCAUAUAUAUCGUGUGUGAGAACAAAUUGUAUGUGCAUUAUCUGACAUACUCGAUUUGUUAGGCUUGCGAUACUUUGCUUAUAAACUUUUGAUUAAGGUAAUUCAACCAGUCAAAUUUUAUAGUAUAGUUUGCACUUGCAUCGCGAUUGGUUGACUAGAAGCUUAUUAUAAGAUAGGAAUUAGACACAUGAAUAACACUUGUACCUUUGAAGUGUAAAUUAACAUACACAAGAAUGAAAUCGAGAGUCACCGUAUUCAAUAGACUCAAAAUACUUCACUAUUAGAUAAAAAUUGAUUGAGAAAUUAGUUACCAAAUACCUUAAAAGCAUUUUUGAUGGUUAAAAGAAAUGCAUUACAACCCCAAAUGUGGUCUCAGUCUAACACACAUAUAUGAUCACACAUUGCAUAGCCCUAGGUUAAAAGCCAUCAUGUAGGUAAAAUGUGCGAAAUAUUGGAUUCAACUGUUGCAGAAUUGAUUGUACAAGAAGGGAAGAAUAUACUAAUGGUGUGAAGCCAGUACACACCAUGAAAAUAAAAUUGUAAAGUUACCGAUGGCAGCCCAUAGCCGGCUUGAAUUGUCAUGUGUGUCUUGACCAUUUAUGAAAAGUACCAUCAUUUGGGCUUUAACUAUUUAGGUGCAGUACUAUUUUAAGAAUCCAGUUAUCUGCAUCGAUCUUGGCUUAGAAAUUCGAAAUUGUGGCAUCGAAAAAGGAAAGGGCUGCAGCUUUAUACAAUCUAAUAUCAGGGUUGUCAAUCUUAGGAUAUUCAGAAUAAUCUUCUUGCAGUUAUAUUCCAUAUUGGAACUUUUCAAAAUUAGUUACCGGGCUUGAUAUAUCGAUUAUAGAUUAUUGAACAGUCCAAGUAAAGAAAAUGGACAAUGGACAUUUUUCUCAUUACUUUGCAAUUCUGAUUCAACAUAGCAGAAUCAAGGUUUAAGACUGAAAAAAAGGGUUUAAGACUGAUAUUAUUUUCUUUUUAGAUAAUUAGUGUGAAAGACACCAAAAAAAAAAAGGAAAAAAAGUGAAGUUCAAUGACAUUAUCUAAUAAAUACCUCAAUCUCUUUGUAGCUAUUCGUCUGCCCUUCAAUCAGUGGGCUCUUUCCUUUGCUCGUUUGGAUGCGUAUUGAUGCUCUAAAACGAAAUGUUUACGAUUUUGAAACUGGAAAAUCCUUAAGAAAAUUAAUUAACAUCAGUUUUCUUACUCAUUCAUCUGCCUUGCAAGAUUCCUUCUUUGCUCUUUCUCUUGAAUUGCUUCCAACAUCAUCCCUGCCAUGGGAAAAGAUGAUAAGAAUAUAUGUACACCAGUAGGCAGAAAACAUUUUCAGAUAUCGGAGGCAGAUGUACAUAAAGGAGUCUUCUCAUGUUGAUAAUGAAAAUUAAUGAUAAAUAAAACAAAAAUGAGAGAGAUAGAGAGAGAGGGUCAUCUUACUACUACCACUCCAUGCAGCUUUUGUAUAGGCUGCCCCAUAUACUUCUUGACUUAGCCUGUACUUCUAAAAUUAAGAAGGAGAACUUAGUGCUAGUUCAAGCAAACCUGAUCUCCAAUUCACCUCUUUGAAAUAUUGGAAAUUAGGAUACCUGGAGAUAACUUUUAAUAUGGUCUGUAGUAAUUUCCUUGAUUCCCAUAACUUUGACUAUAUCUUUUGGAGUUGCUUCUACAUGCAUGGCAAAUUUUCUAUUUAGCUGAAGAAAUUUAAGAACUAAGGAGUAUGUUUGCUUCCCAAAAUUGUUUUUGAUGAAAUUAGAUUUUUUUUCCCUUACCAUAUGCUCCUCCAAGCUGAUUUACCGCCUUAACGAAGCAAUCAUGGAGUAAUUUGGUCCAUUUUAACCUAAACUUCUUCUUGCCUUGGACCUGCCCACCGUUCUUUGCUUCCAUUCUUCUUUAUCGUCUUGAAGUCUCUGUUCUGGCCUCAAUAUAUUUCUGGAGUUUUUGGUUUUUUUUGCGGUAGAUUGUAAAAAGCAUGAUAUCAGAACAUAUUGAUAUCAAACAAUUUAGAAGACAACAUUGCAUAUCAUGCAUAUGCAAGGAAUACUGAAGUUAGGUUUUCUUUUUAUAGACUCAUUCCCCCAUCUCACCUAACUCAGAUGUUGCCGCAAGAAUAAUCUUUCUUCUUUUUCUUUAUAAUGGACCCUACUUUUCUUUUUGACUGUUUUAGUUAUUAACUUUUUAUUUUCUCAAUCUAGAGGGUGUGUUUUCAUUUCAUUGUUGAUUAGCUCCAAGUAUUCAGAAGCUAGCAGAAAAUCUUGUACACUCACGUACUCUUCUGGACCAUGAUUAUUGAAAACUCUUUCUUUUCGUUACAUUUCAUGUAAACAUGUUUUGCCAAGUCCAAAAGAAAAAAAAAGUAUACCUGCAUAUUCUGAUGUAUCAUGUUUGUCCUGAUUCCCUAGUCUUAUAGUGGAUAUUUUUGCCUAUAUUCGGUAUUUUCAAAUUUUGGAUCGCAUCCAGUGCAAGAGAAUGAGAGAUAUAGGAUAAGGGGUCGGACCAAAUAUAAAGGAACAACGAUUGGUUCAAUUAGUUCUUAAUCCUUACACGUUUUUUGUUUUAUUACUUAGGAAAUGUGAAUUUACCAAUUAAUCCGAUCCUUAUUAAUUAUUGGAUUUGCACCAUUAGUUGUUAAAGGUCAGAAGCUUGUUGCUCUUACACACACUAGUUAUCGAGGCACACUUGAUGCAUGUGCAACUUGUCAAAAAAUAUUUUUAAUUGAAAGAAUCACAAAAAUAGUGCAAGUAAAUAUAAUUAUUUUAUGUAAUAUGUAAUAAAACUGUAUUAGACAGAAAUAUGUAUAAUUGGAAGUAAAAAACUGUCAAUAAGGAAGAACGUGAGAAUUGAAGGGAGGUAAUUUUGGUUGGAUAGAAUUUGUGUAUCAGUUGAUAAUAGAAAUAAAGAUUAAUGGAUAAUAAACUUAAGGAUUAAUGGAUAACAGAGAUAAAGGUAACUUUGGAAACAAACAAAGUUAGAACCAAGUUAACACUUACAUAGGCUUUAUCGAGGCACACUCGAUGCGUGUAUAACUUGUCAAAAAAUAUUUGUAAUUGAAAGAAUUCCAAAAAUAGUGCAAGUGAAUAUAAUUAUUUUAUGUAAUAUGUAAUAACAAUGUAUUAUACAAAAAUACGUAUAAUUGGAAGUAAAAAACCGUUAAUAAGGAAGAAUGUGAGAAUUAAAGGGAGGUAAUUUUGGUUAGAUAGAAUUUGUGUAUCAGUUGAUAAUAGAGAUAAGAAUUAAUGGAUAAUAGAAAUAAGGAUUAAUGAAUAACAAAAAUAAGGGUAAAUUUGGAAACAAACAAAGUUGACACCAAAUUAACACCUACAUAGGCUUUAUUAUUGUAGAGAGGAGACUAGAUCGCUGUAAAACAUUGCAUCUACCUUGAGUUUAAUAUUUCUAAAUAUGGGACAAUGGUUUUCUUCAGACAAUGAUCUCGUUAAUGUUGGUAUUAGGCAAUGCUGCUCUUUUUAUUAGUGUACCUCUUUUGCCCCAUUUUUAGAAUCCUUUCUAUUUCAGCUAGCUAUUUGGAAUCUUUGCAUUUUGCGGAUAUGGAGAUACCCCAGUGGGCCAACUUAGUGAAAGCAGGUUCUCUUUUCCUAUCUAGAAGCACUUUUCUUUUUCUUUCUAAUAAUGGAAGGAUGCCACAAGUGGUUUCUUUCCAUUUAUUGGAAUCAAGAAUACAUGUGAGCUACUAAGUUCAUUAGAUGGUUCUACAAAAUAUGGAAUCUCCAUUCAUGAAAAGCUAUAACAAAAAGUCACGAAGAUGUUCCUCCUUUAGCGUUCCCAAUCCCACUAUAAUUGAAUAUAUUCUUAUCUAGACCUCUUAAGUUUUACUAUUGCCCUAAUUCACCCAUUAUAAUCAAGGUCCCGUUUGGCAAGUGAGUUUUUUGAGUAUUUAUUUAAAAUUUUACUAUAAUUUACUGUAGAAGUUGUAGAAAAAUUUUUUGAAGUGUGUAAAUUUUUGGAUAUUUUGAAGUGUAUAGUUUAAAAUUUUUGAGAAAUUUUUUGAGAUUACCGUAAUUAAAGUUGUUAAAAAAUUUGUAACAGAUAAACUUGGCCAAAAAAUUGCUUGCCAAACAAGGCCUUGAAAACUGGCAAAAAUAACUCCUAUGAUUUUGAAAAGUUACCUCAAAAGCCUCUCUUACUUCUUAAUUUAAAUAAAGUGUCACAAGGGCUAGUGAUCAAGGAGUUGAACACUUGCUCAAUUUAAACCACUAGUCGUAAGGGCUAGUGAUCAAGGAGUUGAACACUUGCUUGGUAGAUCAAGAUUCAAUCUUGGUUGGCAGGAUUGGAGUAGGGAGGUAAUAGGCAAGUUAGGGGAAGUAAAAAAAAAAAAAAAAACUAUCAUUCUCAAUUUAAGAGCUUGGCAUGCCAAAAGUGAAGUACUCCACUCAUAAUUAACAAAUUGCAAUUGAUUAAUAAUUUGGAAGUCUCUCGCAAUUCUGUGCUAUCAAAAAUACUUUUUGGCAAGAGACGAUAUUACAAAAUCAUCAAUCGUUGAUCAAGAUACAAUUAGUUCUAUAAUUAGUUCAACAACUUGCACAUAAAUGGAGGGAAGAAAUGGGAAGGAUUUUAAUCCUCGUUUCCAAUGCCCCAUCACGGUCGCAUGCGCCUCACUCAUUCUCAUACAUGUGAAUAGCAAAUUAUCAGUACCUCAGCCAAUGAUUUUUCACCCAAAAAAUAAACCAAAUGUCCAUUUUAUGAAUAGCGAAAAUUGUGAGGUACAAAGUGGUAGAAAACUUUGUUGAGGGGCAAAGCAAGACAUGGCUAGACUUCAAAGUGACACUGGUGGAAUUUUGCUUUAUUAACGGCACUAGUCUGUCAAACUAGGUAUAUUUUGGCAAGCUUGAGACAGCAUGCUCAUCUAUUUCAGAAAGCAAGAAGAAAAGGGCAUACAGAAAAGGGGUGACCGUGAUUCGUGAGCCCAGGAAAAUAUCUUUGUUCACUUUCUUUAUACAUGCUCGAGUCACUAAACCUUUUUUGCUUUUUUUUUUUUUUCCCAUUAGUGAAGAUUCGCUUGCUUUUGCAUUUAACUUAACAGAGCAAGGUCUUGGUACAGUUGGAAUUUUUGUACAAUUAUCUAGUUAUUCUACUCUUUAUAUGAUAUGAUAUACAUUUUUUUGAUUUUGUUAUACCUAUAAAUUUUGUUCAUGUACACUAAUUUAAUAUAUAAAUACAACCGCGUAACGUACUCUAAGUUAUGGACGAAAUAAAAUAACUAUACCCAACCAUACCUGUAUCCCUAACUCAAAAUACCCCUGAGAAAAGAUAGAUGAGGAUAGAGAAGAACGAUUUCUUCUGCGAAGAGACUGCCCUUUCAUUUAGGAUUGGCAUAUGCAAUUGGCUUUUACAAUUGUUUAACCCUUGAUUCGUUAACUAUGGCCUAUCGGCACCACGGCCAACCCCAUGCUAACAAACACAUGUUUACGUAUGGACAGAGACUAGAUAACAGCACAUAGAUAUCUCUUAUGCAUUGAAAUGGGGCAUCCUAUUGAGUGUUGAAAUGCCAAUCAGCUUUCCAGUCCCUCCCAUUUUUGGCCAACACAUAGAUAACAUCACCAUAAAGAUAAAUUACAAGGGGAACGGAUCUUCUAUCUCACUUUUUGUGUCACUCUCGAUUCUAUUUUUUAUUAUAUUGUUAUUUGUCAUUUAUAAGUAUCAUAUUUUAGUUAUUUUUUGUUUCCUUAAAAUCCAAUAGCUAUUAAUUAAGUAAUACACAAAAUUUAACAAACUCAAAAAAUUAAAAUGCAUAAAAAAUAAGAUUUUUAAAUUUUCUAUUAUAUAUUGCUCUUUUAGGAUUAUUGUAUUUAUUUUUAUUCAGUUAAUAGUUAUUGAAUUUUAAGGAAACAAAAACAAACUAAAAUAUGUUGUUUAUGAAGGAGAAAACAAUAUAAUAAAAAGUGGAACAAAGAGUGGCUCAAAGAGUGAGAUUGAAGAUCUGAUGCGCAUAAAAUUUUACAAAUGACAAAAAGCCUAUUUCAAAUAAACCAAUAAAGAUAGGGUGAAAGUUUGAAUUUUUGUACUUCAAUUUCUUCUCUUUUUAUUUUUUUCUUUUUGUUUAGUUGUCUUUUUUUUGCAACAUUAAUUUAGAAACCUAAUAAUUCAUUUUCGUAUAAUUAAGAACAAAAGUGUGACCAACUUUGUACUUUUAUUUUUUUUAAUGGAUCAAAAAGAUGCAUAAUACUGUCAAGGUUGUUAAAGUAACUUAUAUUGAUACUUUUAUUUCUUUUUAACUACAUAAAGAUAGUAGGUUCCUAAAUUCUAAACCAAACCAAAUCAAGACUUUUAUGGCUAAAAAAGGGAAAACAAUUAUGAACUUGAAACUUUUUAUCCUCUGGAAAAUGACAAAUUGAAAUGAAAAUACAAUUUAUUUUGGAAGAAAACAUAGAAUAAUAAAAUUUUUAAGAUUUGUAAAAAAAUAAAAUACGUAAAAAUAAAUUCAAAAAAAUCGACAAAAUAAGAAUGUAGUCUCUAGGUGAAUUUUAAACAAAUUCUCUUAAUUAGACAAAUUGUAUGUGCUUGGUUUACUUGGUUUUAUUUUUCUUUUAUUUGAUAAAUGAAUUUAACAAACUUCUCGUGACUUUUGACAACACUAGUCAAAACUAAAUUAAUGAUUUUAAUGUGAAACCACAUUGAAAACUAAAAUGGUUUGAACUUCCAAUAUAAGAACGUUUUCAAUUGAAUUGAUGAUUUCUUUAUUAGAUUUUGCAUUUGUUUUGUCUUUAAUAUAUUGUCUCAAAUCGUUGAAGAGUUUACUAUGAGUUAAAAUUUUCAUAGUUCUAAAUUGCUUUUCUAAGUGCUAGCAAAAGAUUUGUGAUGUUUAUUAUUAGGGAAAAGGUUACGUGUGUCAUUUAACAUGUGAAUUCCUUAAAAUAACUUUUCAAAAUAUGAAAUAAUUAAUCCAUUUAAUUAAGCAAAUUAUUUCUUAUCCAUAUUAACGUGCACACAAUAGAAAAUCCCUAAGUUAAUUAUUUAAAUUCGGUCAAACAUCUGAUAACCAAAUUCUACGCAAUUUCACCCCUAGCUAUGAAAUUGAAAUUACUUGUGACAUGAUGAAGAUUAAUUGCUAAAUUCCUGAUCAUGAUGCGGAGAGAAUACUAUUGUAUGAUAGAAGUUUAUGAUUUUGAUAUCAUCGAUUGUUUAUGAACCUAAGUAAACACCAUGUCAAGCAAGGCAUGCCAUAAGAUUUUGAAAAUUGAAAUGUGGGUAUGUCACGAAUUUAUAUUAAGUGUAGUUAUAUGUGCAGAAUUGAUGAAGAUUAUUGAAUUAAAAUUGGAAUGAUGAUGAUGGGCUGUACAAUUAUUGGGAAGAAAGAGUAAGUAAUACAAGUUACUAAGAACCGCAAAAGUACGAGUAAUACAAACAAGUAUUACCAAUGGGUUGGCGUAUUAAUAUAGUGUUGGCAUGGUCAUUCCUGUGGAUAAGCAAGCAAUAUAAUUAGACCAUUCAUCCGGGCAUUUGCAUGGACAUCUUUUAUCUACGAAUUUUAAUUUUCCAAAAAACAUGGAUAUAAACAAACUAAAGCGAUAGAUUAAUGAAUGUAAGACACUAAACACAAAACGUGCUCUGAAAGUUACACAGAAUAAGAAUAAUUAAAUAAUAUACUAUUGAUUGAUUACUUUCCAAUGAAUCUUAACCCUUGGUUCAAUGGUGACAUGUUAAGAAUUAUAGUAAUAUUUCAUACUACUUUAGAGAAGUGUAAAGAAAAGAUUGUAGGAAUAAGUAAAGUUCCUUUAACAGAAAAUGAACAAAUGGAUGUCCACCGAAACAUUAGGUGAACGUGAUUGUAAAAAACUAGUAAUUGAUUUUGAACUUUGUAUAUAGAAGAUAUCUUUUCCUUGUUUGUAAGUUAUAUAAUGGAUGAAAUUUGUUGAAAUAUGCAACUUCUCUGCAGACUUUUCGAGAUAUUCUAGCACCAGGAUAAAUAAAAUAGUUGUUGAAUAAAUCUAAUUAUUAGGAGUUGUUCCAUAUUUUUAGUAUUUGGUUAUUUCUAGUUUGUUAGAAUUUUCAAAUUCCUGUUAAGAUUGUUUAGGAGAUUUGUUAGUAGAAGAUUGUGUUGAGUUGUUAACGAAUAUUUUUUGGUUAAGAUUUGUUAGGAGAUAUUUGUGGUUGGCUGUUAUUCUACUUCUAUAAGGUACUGUUUCUUAGUUUAUAUCCAAAGAAACCAAAAAGUGAUACUAAGAGCCUAUAUCUUAAAAGCAUAUGUUGUUUUUAGAGUGCAUGUAUUCGAUGAAAAUCUUUAUUAGUUCAAACUCAUGACAAGAAAGAUCUUACUGUCAAAUGUUUCAACUUUUAGUGAUAAAACUUACCAAAUUUGGGCCAUUAAAUUCUUGACUUAUUUGGUAGUCAAUGAUCUACGGGAUAUGGUGGAAACAAAUUUUGUUUCACCGCUAUUUAAAGAACCGAUGGAUAUAUAAAUUAGAAAUUAUAAAGUUGCAGUUAGACAGAGAUCCAAAUCUAACAUUCACGUAUCAUUUUUUGAUGGUUUUUUCACAAGGAUAAUGGCUUAUGAUUUGAUUGAGAAUAAACUAUUCUUAAUUAAAAUGAAAAAAAAAGGUUUCACUAUGAAUCAGAUUUUGACAAUUCUAAAGUGAAACAUGAUGAAAUCAAAAUUUAAAUACUGAUAAAAUUUAGGAGGAGAUCAUUGAUAAACCAAUCAAGGGAGCUUAUAUUGUAAUGAUUCAUGAAAAAUUCAAGGAUGAUCGUGAUGACAAAAUUUGUGAAGAACCAUAUAGAAGUUUUAGAACUUGUUUCAUAUAUCUCAUAACAAGUAUUUUAUGUGUUAUAUAUAUUUUCUAUAUAGGUUCAAAUAUUGUAGAAGGGUAUUCCACUUUGAACCUAUAAGAGGUUUAUUUGGAAACAUCAAAAAACUAUCUUUUAUUUGGAGUUGGGCAUAAGAAGUCAAAAGGAGUGAUUUGUUACAAGGCUAAUCUUCAGCUUGCAUAAAAAGCCAAAAGAAGAAGUUCAUUGCAAAGCAAAUUAUCAGUUGUAGAGCUUCUUAUAAAAGUCUUGUCCAUAACAAGGUUCAAAGAUUUGAUAAGACAAUUCAAAAUUUACAAUAAAAAUAGCAAGGAGAAGUGUCGGAAUAUGCAACUUCUCUAUAGAUUUUUCUAGGUUUUCAAGCUCUAGGAUAAAUAACAUAGUUGUCAACUAAAUCUAAUUAUUGGGAGUUGUUCCACAUUUUUAGUAUUUGGUUACUUCUAAUUUAUUAGAAAUUUCAGAAUUUGUUAAGAUUGUCUAGGAGAUUUGUUAGCAAAAGAUUGUAUUGAAAUGUUAACAAGUAUUUUUUGGUUAAGAUUUGUUAGGAGAUAUUUAUGGAUAAUUUGUUAUUCUACCUUUAUAAAAGGGGAAAUUGAUGAAUGAAAUUAAGUCAUUUAUUUUGUAACACUAACUAAGGUAUUAUUUCUUAGUUUAUGCCCUAAAAAACUAACAAAUGUAUAGUUUCUCAUUUUUUACGAAAUAGAGGUUAGACACCCUAGAUGGAAUAUAAAAAAUAAAAAAAAGACAAAUGAAUAUAGAAUAUGUACAUGCAGUUACGCUUAAAAAUAUUUUAAAAGAACUAAUGGUUGUGAAAAUUUUCAUUUACUCACAUAACAGAAAUUUGAAAAAAGAAAACUAAUUUGGGAGGGAAUAUUUUAUUUAGUUAAAGAAAAACCUUUAACAAUAUUUGUUCAUUGUAUGGAAAUUUUUGGGGACCAAUUAAUUUUGCAUCCGAACCCUACAUCUUCCUUACACGUAUCCACUUCUUAUAGUAGGGGCUUCCCCCACAGACAGAUCCGUCCACUCUGCACGUAACCAUCUUUGUGUGAUCCAAUAGAACGAGGUGGUCUCAAGAAUCUAUACUGAAGUUAUCCUCUAACCUGUAAGACCUUUUUACAGCAUCUGUACAAAGUUUCUCAAAAGCUAGUUUCUAACAAUAAAGAGUUUGGGAAUCAAAUUCAACAUCACUCACAAAGUGGUGGACUAUUCUGAGAUUCUUGUUAGAAAAUUUUUUAGAAUCACAUUAGAAAAAGUUAAGAUGAUCAAUUUAUUAUAAUUGAAGAAAAGCUUAAUACCAUAAUUGGACUUUGACAUGGUGACUAAUCAAAAAUUUUUCGUGUUUAAUUUGCAUAGUGAAUCAAAGUAACCAUUGCAUGCAGUUCAAUUACUGUCUAAACGUUCUGCGGAAAUGGCUAUAGAACCACAUUAUGUCAUUUCAUUGACACCAAGAAACUCUAUAACAUCGCUACUUGAGAUGAUAAGACCUGAACCACAGUUUAUCAAGCAGAAAUGAACAAAAUUUUUCAAGCCUUUUUCUAUUUUGUGCCCUAAGGAUACCGAAAAAACAUACAAAAUCGAAGUAUUUGUCCUGCUAGACACUUCAAACACAAUAAUCUACCCCUUGAAUCGAGAAACUUUAGCUAACGAAAUCCAAACUUUUCUUUGUGGCAUACAAAUUCAAACUUUUCUUAUCAUGUGUCUUUGUGGCAUGAAGUAAAAGAACUUAUUAUUCAUUUAUUCUUUUUUUUUUAAACAAGGGCCACAUGAUGGACAGAAUUAUCUAUUUCUCUCUUUUAUCUUUUCAUAUAAUUGAUUCACAGCACAGAUGAUUGCGUUACAGAUGCACUACAUGGGCAGAGUUACAGCAAUAAUUAAUUUUCACGGGCUGGUCCUCUUUUUCUGUGCUCAGAAUUCUCCAUGUAGACUAAUUAUUCGGGUAGAAUAUUAUUUGUGUUUCCAAAAUCUAAUUUAGCUGAUAGAAAUAUUAGUGAAGCAAUCCUAAUGUCUUCAACUCUCAACUCCUCCCUUCUUCUCUUCUUCUUCUUCUGAGGACUACUACAUUGUAGACUGGCUCGCUAUUCGUUCCACGUGAGAUAACAACGUUGAAUCAAGUUCCGCAUUAACAGGGCUUAGCUUAAGUCUCAAUUGGAUUUAGUCUGGCCAGACAUUAAUUCUUAAGGUCAAGUAGGGGUGGAGAGCAGCAUAGUUUAUGGAAGAAGAUAUGGAGGCUGAAACUGAAGCAUAAACUCAAGCACUUCCUGUGGAGAUGCCUCAAAAGGAGCUCUACCUACCAAUGAACUAAUGUUCAAGAGAACUCAAAAAGGAGUACCCUGGAGCAAGCAGUGUGGCAAUGAGAUUGAAACUAUGGAACAUGUGUUACUGAACUGUCCAAAGGCUUAAGAAAUAUGGAAAUUUGCUCCUAUUAAAUGGGAUGUUUGGAAGGGAAAAAAUGGAAUUUCUGGGAAUGGUGGGAAGGAGUAAUGAGUGCGAAGAAAAGGAAAGAUGGAAACUAGCACAUUGCACUAACGGUUAACAUAUUGUGGACAAUCUGGAAAGAAAGGAAUAAUUUUCCGUUCAAUGGUAGCAGAUGUCACUUUGUGGAUGCUGUACAUAAAGCAUGGAGAGAACGGGAAGAAUAUGACAGGCUGGGAUGGGAAAGUACAAAGAGAGCAAGGAAUCAAGAAGUCUGGAAAGGAGCAUAAAGGAUGAUACCGGAGUGGACAGACACACAGUAAUGAUAUAUGUGGCAGCGAGCAAGAACAGAAUUGGAAGCAAAACUGGGAUCGGUAUUUCUGCACACAGCUGGGAGGGAGAGGACUCAUAGCAUUAUGAGCUCUACCUGAAAAUAAGGGUGGAACACCAGAGUUGGAGAUGGCCGAGGCAAAUUAAAGUUAUAGCUGAAGGUACGAGAUGGAUAGAAUUGCUGAGAAACAAGAAUGCAGACGAUGCAACAUUGGGAACAUUACUCGAGGACAUUUCAUCCUUGCAGCAUUUUUUUUUUCCAUACGUGCUCCUUUCAGAGUGCAGAUAAGGAAGUGAAUCAAAUAGCAGAAAAUAUAGCGUAAUGUGCUGUUAACUUAUUACAUGAAGUGUCACGGAGUGAGAAUUUUCCACAGUGGCUUGUAAAUAGGCAGUAGAUUGGCUCUCUACUGUUUUGACAAUCUUGACAUUUGUUCAGGAUACUGAUGUAAAGCUCUUUUGAUUAAUGAAAUGUUAUCGUUUUAAAAAAAAAAAAAAAAUUCCACGAAUCGACCGCCGGCAAAGCGGUCCGUUUUUAACGUAACUAAAAGUUUUCUGUAUUUCUCCUAUGCAAUGCAUGUUCAGCCCAUCUCUUCUUCUCAAACCCUUUCCCUUAUCAUCGGGCCAGUUCCUCUUUACUUCUUCUCUCAUUGUUUCCCCCAACAAAAUAAUAAAUAAAUAAAUAAAUAAAUAAAUAAAUAAAUAAAAAUAUAUAUAUAUAUAUAUAUAUCCACGAGAAACCUUUUGAAGCAGUGAUGUAUGACAGCAACUUAAACAGUGAACUUAAUUUGCUGGGAAGAUGAAUUACACCUUAACUGAUAAGACGCUUCAUCUAUGAUAGUAAUAGUUUUUUAUGCUUCACCUGUAAUUGAUAAUUCCCUACUUCGAGUCAUUAGAAGAUAGACAAAGUUUUAUUAUAGAUGAUCAUUUUUCAAAUAAAGAAAAAUAAAUAAAAACUUUCAAUUUGUUGGGAAAUAUCUAAUCACCAUAUGCCUUUCUUGGAAAUUUCGGCGAGUCAUGCCUUUCUAAUCACGGUAUGUAACAACCAAACAAACUUCUACUUUCUAGUAUAGCUUGUAAACUUAAUUGUUUAGUGCUGCCAAGAUGUUCCUCCAAAAAAUAUGAAGACAAAUGACAUCCUAGAUUGUUUGAAUAUAGGCAACAAUUACCAAAAUAACCUAGUCCAGCAAAAAUUACCAUGCAUACAACUUUGCUAUAAUUAGUCCGAGGUAAUUUGUCUAACUUUUUUCAUUGUAUAAAUAAAUUACAGUUGACAUUACUAAUUUACUUAUAGAUACCUUGUAAUCUUACAAUCCUCCCAGUGGUUUCGUUCAUUCGCAGGAUUCAUACAUAUAAAGAACCUCACUCUCUGCCCGCUGGCUCGAUAUCUUCAGCUGAAACAUUUAAGUCAAAAGGUUUAUGCUUUGUACACAACUUGCAAUCUUUGGUGGCAAAUGUGUUCUCAAUUUCAGUCGUCAUUUCUAUCUCAUUAAAUGACAACUCUUUUUCUGCAUAAUCAUCUUUACCUUCUGCUGCCCGAUUUCCUUGAAUUCUAUGGGGUACUUGACACAAACUUACUUAGCUAGUUAAGGGAUGAAUAGUUGGCUGAUCACUGCUACUGGCUGGUUCAUAUAGCUGAUGUUUUGAACCUUUUGCUUCUUAAGCACGGGAGUUCUGUUCAAUUCUUGUCUUUGAGGACCAGCCCUGAAGUACAUUUAGGUCUGUAUCCUGCAAUUUCUUCCGUAAAUUGUUUUACUGCAACAUAGAGGAUCAAAUUCUGGUAGGUUUUCUGAAGUAUAAUCCAAUGCACAUUAUGCACGUAAUCUGUAACAACUUGAAGGGCAUUUUAGAAAGGUUUAGAGAUUUAAUGCAUGUUAACUCAAUGACUGUCAUUAUCCUUUUCUGUAUUAUGUAUCAUGGAUUCAAAACCUACGACUUUAGCAUGAAAUCAAGAAAAAGAAUCGCAGCUUUGGAUUAUGCAAUUGAUCUCAGGCCAGUCAAAUUGAGAAUCCAGCAUAAAUAAUUUUAUCCUUCCACCUUCUGUUCUUGGCUUAUUAUUACAAAUCAGGUACAUGAUCUUCUAGCACUUGAGAUUUCGCACGUUUAACCUUGUUAAUCAGGAUUUCAAGUAUUUUGAGCAGAUAUUACACAUGAAACACUGAUAUGUGUAAUCCAGUGACAUUAAAUAUGCUAUAUACCUCAUUUCUUUUGUUGAAUUGGCCCUUCUCUUCAAUCAGUAAGCUCUUUCCUUUCCUUGUUAAAGGUAUAUACCUUGAUGUUGCAAGUAAAUCUGCUAGCUUAUUGUUGAUGGAAAGUUUAAAUUCCAUAAAUAUGAAAACUGUUUGCCUUACUGAUCAAUUGUCUGGCAUCCAAUAGCUCUUCUAUGCGUAUUCUCUUCCUUUACUUCAAGUAUCAUAACUUGAAGUGGUGCAUAGUCCAAGAAAAGCGUAUUAUCAGUUAAUAACAACAAUGCAGCAACAAUAAUUACAAUGAUGAUGAAGAAAUGAAGCUGAGUAUAGAAAAGGAAUGGUUCUCUCUUCUCUGUUUCAUACAUGCCAGUGGAGAUCGACAAGUCAUUAAAGUAAUCUUGACAUUUCUGAUUCAGUAUGAUUUAAAGAUAAGUGAAGAUAUUGCAGAAAAUCUUCCUACCAUUGCUCUUUGCUCUUGCAUGGAACUCUUUUCUUAUCCGGUAUUUCUGGAAUGAAGACAGCAUUAACAUCCGGCAAGGGUGAGAUUAUAAACAAAUUGUUUUUGUGUAUUUAGGCAUAGGGUUGGAAGUUUACCUGCAGAUGGCUUUUUAUAUGUUCUGAUGUUAUUCCCUUGAUGCCCAUUAUCUUUUGUAUCUCUCUUGGAGUUGCUUCUGCUCAUGCAUGCCACAGUUUCCAUUAGAUUGAAUAGUUCUAAGUACAAAGGGCUUUUUUGGUGUGAUUCUGUUUAGAGUGCACAAGUUCUAAACAGUGUUUAGCAAUUAUUUCUUGGAUAUACUAAAGGCUGAGAUCUUUGUUAAGAAAAAGGAUACGUACGCUCAACCUCUGUGAAAUGUGAUUCUGUAAUAUUAUUCUUUCAAAGGUUGUAUUCGAGAAGCAGCAGCAAGCUGGCCUAGAAAAUUUUCUGUUAUGUGAUUUUGUACUUACCAUAUAUGUUCCUCCAAGUUGAUAAACUGCCUUCAGGAAUCGAUCAUGGAGCUCUGCUGACCAUUUUAAUCUAGGCUUUUUGUCUUUUUGGAGAUUCUGCCCAUUUUCCUUGGCUUUUGCCUCCAUUCCGAGCGCUUCUCGGUUUUUUGCAGUCACAAGUGGAACAACUGAAAUUGGGAUCUUCUUCCCAUAUUCAUGGUAAAAAGCUUAAUAUCGAAACAUUCACUCACAGGUUUGACUUACAAAGAAUCUCUCUUAAAUUGAUGAGCUUUUGUCAUUCACGUACCAAUAUUGGUUAGGGCAUGAAUUGAUCAACACCAAAAUUUCUCUUUUCGCUUCUUAAUUUACUACCCCUCUCAUAACGAAAAGUAAAGGAAGCUUUUUCUGCACUCAAUUCUUCCGUUUUUGGUUUAGUUGUAUUUUCCUUGUAAUCCUCCAUUUUUAUAUAACAUUUCUAUAAAGCUUUCCACCAGCGUCCAAUGUUCACCAAGAAUAAACUUUCUUGCUUUCCUUUACAAUUAUUCCUGCCUUUUUUUAUUUAACUUUUUUGGUACACAUCUCCUUUAGGUUGAUGAAUCUAAACCAUAGCUGUUUCUCGAUGGACAAAAAGUAUGAGUAUUACUCAAAAGUUUGGCCUAUAUUUGGCACUAGAAAAUGUUAGAUCUGAUCCUAAAAAAUUGACAAAAGAAAUUUUGGAAAUCUCAAAAAAGACAAAUAACAAAGCAAAAGCAAAUAAAACAGAAACACAAGAAUUUACGUGGUUCGAUUGACAAAAGAAUUUUUAAAUCCCAAAAAAGACAAAUAACAAAACAAAAUUAGUAAAAUAGGAACACAGAAAUUUACGUAACAAACUAAAAAUAAGAAAAAUAGGAACACAGAAAUUUAUAUAAUUCAGUCAAAUUGACCUACAUCCACCGGGGGGAGGAGGAGCAAAAUUUCACUAUGAAAAAGAGAGUACAAAAUGCCUUAGAAAAGUAUUUUUAGAUCCAAAAUAUGUAAUACUUGAAAUACAAGAGAGUCCAAAAAUAUUUUAUUAAACAAAAGGUUUAAUGACCCAAAAACUCAAAUAACCUGCUAAAUCUCUCUUGAUUUGGUAUCCUUGAUUCUAUCACAAGCCCACUAUAUUUAUAGACAAUUAAGGAAAAAACUCCCUUAUACAAAAGGCGAUGUGGGACAAGUCACUUUAACAAAUUUUCACCUUGGUGUAUCCCAAAUAUCAACAAUAACAAAUCUGAUUUACCUUCUCCACAUAUACCUUAAUGGGUCUAAAUCACCAACAACAAAUAUCAAUCAAGUCCUAGCAUUGCUUGAACUUGUAAACUAAAAGAGGUUUUGUGAACAUGUCAGUAGGAUUUUCCUUGGUACUGAUUUUUUGAACAAUGACUUUUCCUCAUCAAUAAUAUCUCAAAUGGAAAUUUUACAUCAAUGUGUUUUGUCCUCUCAUGAUACAUCUGAUCUUUAGUCAAAUGAAUGGCACUUUUACUAUCACAGUAAAUAGUAGUAACACCUUGAUGCAGAAUGAGCUUGCCAAACAAACUCUUCAACCACAAGACUUCUUUGAUUGCCUCGAUCACAGCCAUAUAUUCAGUCUACGUACUAGAUAAAGUUGUAAUAGGUUGUAAAGUAACUUUUCAACUAAUUGCAUAACCACAAAUGUAGAAUAUCUAAUCUGAAAGUAUUCUUCUCCUGUCAAGAUCUCCUGCAUAAUCAGAAUCUACAAAACCAACCACAAUGUUAUUAUUUCUCCCAAUCUCUAAACAACAAUUUGAAGUCCUUCGCAAGUAUUUGAGAAUUCACUUCAUAGCCUGUCAAUGUACUUUUUCAAGACAAGACCUAUAUCUGCUAAUCACACUAACUGCUUAUACGAUAUUUGGACGAGUACAAACCAUUGCAUACAUAAUACUACCGACUGCAUUGGAAUAGGAAACUUGUACCAUAAACUCUUCUUCUUCAAUUGAUUGUAGUGACUGAGCAGCAGACAGUCGAAAAUAACUAAUAAAAAGAGUAGUCACAGGUUUAGCAUUUUUCAUGCCAAAUUUCUCCAAAACUUUCUCAAGAUAAUUUUUUUUGGUCUAGAAUAACUUUUCAACUCCUCGAUCUAUCUUGAUUUCCAUGUCAAGAAUUUUUUUUAAUUGCUUCCAAAUGCUUCAUUUUAAAUUUACUACUUAACUGCAAUUUUAAAAUGUGAAUUUCUGACAAAUUCUUAGCAGCAAUGAGUAUGUGAUCAACAUAAAAUAGCAAAUAAAUGAAAGAACCAUCUUCUAACUUUCGAAAGUAAACACAACUAUCAUACAUAUUUCAUAAAUAAUCAUGACCCAACAUAAAGGUAUUAAAUCUCUUAUACUACUAUUUUGGAAAUUGUUUCAAUCCAUAUAAGAAUUUUUUCAAUAAAUAACUAUGGUAUUCCUUUCCUUUAAUUUCAAAUCCUUAAGGUUGUUUCAUAUAAAUUUUCUCUUCAAUUCAUCAUGCAAAAAAUCUAUCUUAAUAUCAAGUUGCUCAAAUUCCAAAUCGUACAUGGCAACUAAAACAAACAAAAACAUGAAUAGAGUUAUGCUUAACAACAGAUGAAAAUACUUCAUUAAAAUCAAUGCGUUGUACCUGACUAUAGUCCUUUGCAACCAACUGUGCUUUAUACCUUACAUCUUCAAUUUCUGGAAUACCUUUUUUCUUCUUGAAGACCCAUUUGUAUUCAACAAUUUUCUUAUCAGAAUGCGACUUUACAAGAAUCCAAGUUUCAUUUUGAUGGAGGGAUUUAAUUUCUUCAUUCAUCGCAAUCAAUCAUUUAGUAGCAUCAUCACAAGAAACUGUCUCUAAUUAGGUAGUGGGCUCACCAACUCUAUCAGUUACAUCGCAAUCAAUCAUUUAGUAGCAUUAUCACAAGAAACUGUCUUUGAUUAGGUAGUGGGCUCACCAACUCCAUCAGUUUCUUCUGCAACAGACAAAGUAUAUGCAACCAAAUUUACAUAUUUUUGUAGUGGUUGAAUAUCCUUUCUUGGUCUAUCUUUGGCAACGAAAUAUUCUUACUCUUCUGAAUUAUUUUCAUCAGUAGAUUUAGAUGCAUCUACUGGCACUUAUUGAAUAGAAGGACUAAAACUAUCAAUCUCAAACUCCAUCUACUUCUAUAUACUAUCAUCUGUAUAACAAGAAUUAGAAAAUUUCUUCUUGAAAGAUAAUAUAGAAAAUUCAUUAAAAGUGACAUCUUUACUGUUUAUAAAUUUUAAAAAUUUGGAAUUAGGACAUCAUAAUCUGUACUCUUUCACCCUAAAAGUAUAUCCAAGAAAAAUAACUUUCUUAGUUUGGGGUUCUAAUUUUUCAUCAUUUACAUGCAUGUAUACUAAACCUCCAAAAUUUUUAAAUUAGAAUAAUCACCUGGAGUACCUGACCAAAAUUUCUCAGGAGUUUUGAAAUCAAGAACUGUAGAAGAAGUACGGUUGACAAUAGAAUAAGCCAUAGAGAUCGUCUCUGCCCAAAAGUUCUUUGUCAAUCCUGCAUUAGAGAUCAUACACCUUGCUCUUUCUAAAAAGUAUUCUGUUCAUACGUUCGGUUAUGCUAUUUUGUUGAGACGUCGUCCUGACAGUGCGAUGUCGAACAAUUCUUUCAUUCUUACAAAUUCAUCAAAUUUUUUUCACAAAAUUUCAUAUCUUAUCUGUUCUAAGCCGUUUGAUCUUUCUACUUAUCUGUUUCUCAGUCAAAACUUUCCAUUACAUGAAAAUGAUGUAAACAUUAUUCUUGUAUUUAAGAAAAUAAAUUCAAACUUUUCUUGAAUAAUCAUCAAUGAAAGUUAACAUAUACCUAACACCACCCUUAGACAGAACACGAGAUGGAUUCCAUAAAUCUGAAUGAAUAUAAUUAAGAGUACCUUUCGUCUUAUGAAUUUCUGGUGAAGUAAAGCUAACUCUUUUCUACUUCCUAAAAAUACAGUGUUCACAGAAUUUCAAUGACCCAGUAUUUUGAUAGCAAAGAAGUCUUCUUUUGCUUAGUAUGCCCAAAAUCUUUCUCGCUCAUAUGUCCCAAAUGCAUAUACUAUAAUUUGGUGAUGUCAGAAUCAGAUAAAGAUGAUAAUGACGAAACUGCAACUGAACCUGUGACAGUAAAUCCCUGCAAAGCAUAUAAACUAUCAAACCUAUAAGCUUUCAUUACAACAAGAGUAUCUUUAGAAACCUUCAUAACACUCUUUUCAGCUGUGUAUUUGCAUCAAAGAGCCUUUAGAAUGCCCAAAAAGAUGAAUUUUUUUUUCAAAUCAGGAACAUGUCUAACAUUAGUGAGCGUCCUCAUAAUACCAUCAUGCAUUUUAAUUUAAACUGUACCCUUAUCAAUAACAUUACAAAUGACAUUAUUACGUAUCAAAACAAUUCUACCAUUACAAGAUUCAUAAGUGAAAAAUAAAUUAUUAUUGGGACACAUGUGAUAAGAGGACAUUGAAUCUAAAAUCCAUUCAUUUUUAGACCUUUUUCUGUCAUCAAUCACAAAGAAAAUAUUUCUUUCAUUCUUAUCAGUUGUAACACGAGUUUCGACAGUUUCAAUAUUUUUCUCACCAGAUUUUCCGUUUUGCUUUAAUCUUUUCAAUUUAAAGCAAUUUACUUUAAUGUACCAUAUUUUGUGAUAAUAAUUACACUUCAAAUUUCUCUGUUUGGAUUUAGAUAUAGAUUUUGAUCUACUAUUAUCAAAUUUUCUUUUAUCGAUUUUAUCCCUUGCAAUCAGACCUUUCCCUUGACUUCCAUUAAUUUCUCCGAUAAUAUUUCUAUCUAUCUACUGCUUAGAUUUUAAUGCAGAUUUAAUUUCUCGAUACGAAAUUCUUUCUUUUCCAUAAUCAUGGUAUCGCGAAAAUAUUUAAAGGAGCGGGGAAGGGAAUACAAAAGUAACAGGGCCUGAUUCUCAUCAAAUAUAUAUUCUCCUAAUUUUCAAAUAUAUACUCUCCAAAUUCAUAAUAAUGAAAUCAAAUUUAUCAAGAUGUGAGAAUAUAGAUGUACUUUCAGUCAUAUGAAACAUAUACAGAUUUUAUUUUAAAUAAAAUCGAUUCUCAACUAUUUUCUUCAUGAACAAGGCUUUAACUUUGUCUCACAUGAUAUUUGUCGAAAUCUCAGUAACCACCUCCUACAAAAUCUCGUCAGAGAGAUUUAAAAUAAUAUUGAAUUUCACCUUCUUAUCCAUCUUAGCAAAAUUUUCAUCUAUCACACUCUCUAACUUUUUCAAUUUCCUGUAUCACUAGAUCAACUCCGUCUUGAAUUAAAAUAACCUCCAUCUUGAGCUGCCAUGCAACAGUCCCACCUCCAUCUAGGAUGUACCCUAAAAGUUAGAGGAUCGUCUGCCUGAUUCUCUCCAGAACUCAUUAAUUUCAUAGUAACUUCAGAGAUAACAUUGUGGUAUACUAAAACCACACGUUCAAAUCUUUUACAAUGCCAAGUUUAAUACAAAACUUCAACCGUGAUAAGAUACUAGAUAAUUUACAAUCACAAAAGACUUCAUGUUAACUCCCUAAACUCUCUCAUUCAUUUCUCGACUACCAACUUCUGUAAGGAAAACAAACUACAAGGUUGAGCUAAAAUUCAGUGAGAUUUGCCGAACAAGUAACAUUUAAUAAACACUUAAAUUAGUACAAUUAAGUAAGUAGUGCACAUUUCACUGUAUAAUCACUUUAAAAAGGAUACAAACUCCUCCUGGGAGUCAUUUCAAUAUCACUGUACAUUCAUUUCAGUGUCGCGAUACAUUCAUUUCAAUAUCAUUGCACACUCUGCCAAUUCACCCCGUUAUGUCCUCCAAAAUAAUAAACAAUCCCCUACAUUCAAUAAUCAGUGCAAUAAUCUCUCAACUUCAGGGUAAUGCUCGAGUAUACCGAAACAGUUACCCAAAUCUUCCGUCCUAUCCGACCAAGCCCUUUGCUGGCUCGAAAAGUCCGUUGAACAAAGGGUUUUGGGGUCCAAUUCAACUGAUGUGGUAAAGUACACAUACGGCUUACAUUCAUGAACACUUACAGUAAUAUUUGGUUAAUUAUCAACCUUCAAACUCAACUAAGUCGAGUGCGAUAAAGUACACCCUCGACUUAGAAGGUGAGAGACAAUUGAGAUACACUUUACAAUGAAUCACUAGCAAUAUUCCAUAAUAAGCACAUUUAUCGCAUAAUUUCACUUAAAUAAACAUAAACAGUUAAACACACAACUUCGGAAACACUCACCAAAUACCCAAAUAGAUUACUCUCGAGUCUCGGGUUUGUUUCCUGACUCACAGCUCCUUCCUGAGACAAGUUCAUAAUUUCAAAGUAAAUAUAUAAUUUGUAGAUAUUCAUCUAUUGUUUAUUAUCCUAUUAUUUAAAUUAUUAGAAUCAAGUUUGACUUUAAAAUAUAAAAUAUAAUAUAUUCAAUAUUUAUUAUACAUUUCAUUUCGAGACUUAUUGAUUUUAUCAUUUUAAAUCAAGAAAUAUACGUAUUUUUCAAGUUUAUAAUUUAUAAAAUAUUUAAAUUAGGAUUAAACUAUUUUCCACCCAAGAUUCUAAAAUUAAAGCUUAGGAAUACUCCAUUGGUUCCCUUUUAAAUUAACUAAACUCUAGGUUGUUUGUAAAUUAAAUUUUGUUUCACGAUACCAGCCCCUCUUAGGUUCUAAGGUCUUUAAAAUGUUCUUUAAAACAAGAUUAAAUGAUUAGCAACCGUCUUAUGUAUCUAAUUGUAAUAAGUUGCCUUAAGGUUUCCAAAAUAUUAUAGGAGUUCACUUCAUUACUAUGUUAGCUGUUAAAUCAAGUUCUAGCAAUAUAGUUCAUAAUUUUCAUCAAUAUUUCAUCUCCUACUUGGUAAAAUAUUAAUCACUCAGUAUUUAUCCCGUCCCAGCUGAAGUUGAAUCAAAUAACGUGUAGUAUUUACGCAUAAACCCAACAAAACAACAAUAAGUUCCAUUUUUAGAUAAUGUAACUUCCUAGCAAUAUACACAGUCCAGCAUUCAUUGUUUCCCUUAAAUCCUUCAUUUCAAUCUCAUGUCCCAACUAGACAAGUUAAUUACAUUUAUUAAGUUACAAAGUAGCCUUAUACAGAACGUGGAAAGUUUUGCAGCUAACUUAGAGGAAAAGACUGAUCAACUCUUCCUUCUUUCUCUCGGCCAUAAGGUAAUUCAGCAGCACAUUUCAUAGUUUUCCUCUCAUUUGCCUUAGUUUAACUCUACUCACGGAACUAGUCAUAGUCACUGAAUCACAGAGCAACCUUAGUUCUACCUGUGGAAGUUCACAGAGCCAGAAAUUAGAAGAAAGGCUGCUCUAAAAGCUUAUUUCCUUCCCCUUUUUUUUUAUCAUAGCAGAUUGUACCAGCUUCUUUUUAUCAAGUUUUAGUUAAGCUUCCUGAAGUUUUUAGAUUUCCAAGGCACCUAUCUUUUAAGGUAAAGAAUUAACAUGUCUUCCAUGUAUUCAUUAGUAAGGGUUUCAGAAUCAAUAACAACAGGUAAUGUAACUUGCUUAAUUCCCUCAGACAACUAACCUGCAAUCAGUCGAAUGCACUUGUCCUACUAUGUUCACUUUAGUUUCUACUUGUUUUGGUCUUGCUUGUUGAAGUUUACGGUCUGCAUGACAUUUUACACUUACUACACAGGUUUAGGAGCUAAAGUUUAUAGAGGACAACCAAAGUGUCCUUCUUUUCUCUUUCGGUUGCAGUCACUAAAUUUCCAGCAAAAUCGUAGUCUAUCAGUUGACAUUUUCUUACCUUUUCCUCCUCAGUUUUUGGUCUCAAUCACUCAUGCAGAAGAUACUUAAUUUGCUGCAGGUUAUCCUAAGCUAAACAGGGCAGUUCCUGACCAGAAUUCAGAGAAAAAUUGAAUAAAAUUACAAGGCUGCGCAAAACUGCUAAAUCUGGUGCAUAGCAGCUUGCACCAUAUUACUUUCAUGCCCAUAGUUUCAAUUCUUACAAGCUCCUACGGCUAAUCCUUUUUUUAUUACUUAAAGUGGACGUAAUUCAUGCAUUCCUAGCUGUAGUUUCCAUUUUUUUUUUCUGAUAACUAGUCACACAAUUAGUACCUAUUUCACGGUUAGAAGUCAGAACUUCCUCUCAGCAGACUAUCAUUUCUAAACAAAAUUUCUCCUGCAACAAAACUUAGUUUUUUUUGGUUAGAUUCCAGCACACACAACAUUCAAAUUCAAAUAUACCAGAUGAUUAAAAAGUUAUAUACAAAUUUUUCAUCAUUGAUGAACUAAAAUCCAAACAUCAAUUUUCAGUUUCUUCCAAAUCUGUCCAACAGUUUUAUCUUCUUCAAACAGAAUUUCACCUUAGCUAAGAGUCCAUUUCUUUACUAAAUUCUCGUGCAGCUAGCAUAUUAAUCUAUUUAUACGGAAUGGACAGAAGAUUAUUGCAAGUUCUUACCUUUUCUCCUAAAGUUUGAUAUCGCAGUCUGUUCAAAAUUUCUGGUCCUGAUUCCUUAAGUCUUAACUCUAAUUCCUCCUGCUUCCUUGCGACACCUUCCUUAUCUUUGGUUGUUUGGUGAUGAAGCUAGCUAUGCUCCUGCUCUUACUUUCUCUGUUUCGCUCUCUUUUCCCACUCCCUCUAUUUUCUCUCGAUGUUAGCUUGGUAAGGAGAGGAGCUGAAAUUUUGUUUUACUCUCUGCCACCGUCCAAGUUUUUGCAGUUGGUUUUCUCUUUUUCCCCACUGGGUCACCGUUUGGAUUCGGCAAGCUCUUGGCAGCUGUUUCUCUUCAAUUUUGUCUUUGUUUAAAAGGCUUAAAGAUCAGAUGAAACAAAUAUUAUUCGGUGGUAAAAUUUUUCAUUCAGUGCUCACCCUUCAAAGCUGCUAUAUUCGGUGACUCACUCUCCAAAGCCUUCAUCCACUCGGUUUCAUGUUUGAAAAUUCUGAUGAUUUGCUUGGCUGCAUGGUUGUUUAUCCUAAAUUCAAGGUUAAUUUGGUCUUUCAAUUCUAGCUCAUUUGCUUGCUAAUGGUCCGUAAUAUCUUUUUCCUAAAAUUUCAAUUUUAUAGGAAUCCAAUCAUACAUUUAAUUUAACCAUUUAUUUAUUAUAUAUAAUGUUUCUAAUAACAAAUUAAAUGUAAUGGGAUAAAUUCGAAGUGUACACAUAAAUUUCCGAGUUCUCACAUCUUUUCCCCCUUAAGAAAAUUUCGUCCUCGAAAUUUCGUACUUUUAAUCGUAAAAAGUUUCGAGUAUUCUUUCUGUAUUUUAUCUUCCAUUUCCUCAGGUUGCUUCCUCCAAUCCUUGUUGUUUCCAUAGAACUCUGACUAAAGGAAUCUAUUUAUUCUUUAAUUCCUGUCUCUAAAAUAACAUGCCCCAGAAAUGAUAUUUUCUCCAUUCAAAAUUCAUACUUACUAAAUUUUAUACAAUUGACGCUUCCUUAAAGUCGAUAACACUAUCCUUAGAUUCUAUUCAUGAUCUUCCUUCUUAAUUCUUCAUUGAUAGUAUCCUUGCCAAAGAUCUAUCUUAGAAAAUAUUAUUGCCCCUUGCAACAAUUAUAACAUCAUUAUAAGCUCAACUUGCAAUCUCUAUCUUUUUUUUUCUCCAAUCUUAAUCUCAUAGUUUCUAUACACCAUUUGGUUAUCAAACUUUGAUCACUAGUGGGGUUUUAACUUCUAAUUCAUAAGGUAGUUUGUUAAACUUCAUACCAAUUCUAUUUAUAAAAUCAACAAUUACAAAUGAAUGCAUCGCACCAGGGUUAAUCAAAAUCUUAGCUAAGCGAUUGAAGACAGGGAUGGUACAUUCUACCACCUCAGUUGUCUCUGGCACUUGCUAUUGGUCUAAAGCAUAUACUCUAGCUGGCACUCUUUAUCGAUUUCUUCUAUCGUUAGUCUGUCGAGGUGCAGGUGGUAGGGUGUUAAUACUUCGUGGUAUCCUAGUUGGGCAACUACCAAUUAGGUGUUCUGAACUUCCGCAAAAUAAGCAUUUUCAUCCCUUCACCCAACAAUUUUCCUCAGAAUGAUUCUCUUUUCCACAGUAUCCACAUGCUGUUUGGGAGCUCGGCACUUGCACUCCUCUAAAAUGCCUUUCUUGUUGUCCUUUUUUGGCUUGAGCUUCGCUGACUGAGGUUCUAGGUGAUUGGUUUUGAACUCCGAGCGAAAAUCUUACUCCGCCAAUUCCUCUUCCUGCUUUGGGCUCCAUGACAUCUCCUCGCGGUUGCCCUGAAGUAACGCCAGGGGCAUUUCUUUUCCUAGUUUGGAAAGUCUUUAGUUGGGAUUUCGCAUUCUCAAUUCUCUGGGCCUUGUCAAGAGCCCCAAGGAAGGUAUCCAGGGUAACUGGCGCCAGGGAUUCCUGAAUCUCCAUAUUUAAUCCUUGAACAAAACGCCUCACUCUCUUUUGUUCGAUGGGUUCUAAUUCGGGAAAAAAUUUAGACAAUUUUGUGAACUGGAUUUCGUAGUCAGCAGCACUGGAGGUCCCUUGCCGAAAUCUAAUGAAUUCAUUCUCCCUUUUCUCUCGAACCAAAGGAGGAAUAUAUUUUUCUUUAAACUCGUAGACAAAGUUAGUCCAAGUCCAUGGGAUUUGCUCUCUUUCCCAUUUAGUUUAUCUAUGUUCCAUCAUGAACGUGCCGCCCCCUCAAAUUGGAAUACGGAAAAGGUAACCUGUCUAUCCUCAGGGUAACCAAUUCUCUACUAUUUCAGGGUUUGGUCCUCCAGUAAACUUAGGUGAAGUAAACUUUUGGAACCUUUCUAAUGCCUUAUCUUCCCCACUUCAGAGUCCUUAUGUUGAUGUGUAUGUCCGACUCCGGAACCGGAUUGAUUAACUACUCUUUCUAAUAAAUCGAUCAUCCUAUUUAGGGCCAUAGUCACUUGAUCGUUUCUAUUGACUUCUUAUUCUUGGCUCUGAUCCGCCGCGGAGUCGCAUUCUCCAUCUAGGUUUUCAGAUUGUCUAACCCUACGAGGUCGCCCACGUCGUCGUCCCUCACUCUCCAUUCUCCACCUAAGUAUGCUAUGUAUUUAGAAAUCAUGAAUAAAUUGGACUUAUCCCUAUACUUACAUAAAUAUUUAGUAGUAUUUAAUUUUAGAAAUCAAAAUGCAUUCAGCACAUAAAUUCACACUUAGUUUAUAGGCCAACCAUUAUAAAACAACAAUUAAAGUCAAGUACAAUACAAGUAAUUCAAAUAUACAUAAAAGUAAACAGUUUAACAGUAUAGUGCAUGUAGCAUAUCAAACAUGGAUAGCUCAACCCUUAGUUUUUAAGUUAACUAGAACUCCAUUAGUCUAAUUUAAGACAGUCCCAGUCGAUCCCUAAUUUACCUGAACACUCGGGUAAGGCAUCCUUUUACUUCCUGCAGUUGCUGCCUCUUCACCUCUAACUCUCAAAAGUUAUCCUCGAUCUCUCCGAUUCUACUUCUCCAAUUUUAUUCAUGAUUUCUAUUCAGAUCAUAAUGCAAUACAUUAAAUCCUGCCAAAUUUGCAAAUACACCAACGAAUAAAAUAUUUAAUACUCGGAUACAAGAAUCCAAAAAUAUGAUAUUUCAUAACUCAAGUCGGCCGGUCUCAAGAGUAAAUCAUCCACAUUUGAGAUUUUUACCCGACGUACAUAUCUAAUUUUUCCUCAAUAAUGAUAGUUCAUGUCACACUUAACAUGCCACUCCCCACAAUCCAAGAACCCUCUCCUGGUGUGAGCUCAUUAAGAGUUCUGAUACCACAUGUGACGGUCCCACCUCCUUUUAGGGUGUACCCUAAAAGUUAGCAGAUCGUCUGCUUGACUCUUGCCAUGACUCAUUAAUUUCGCAUUAACUUCAAAGAUAACAUUGUGGUAUACUAAAACCACACGUUCAAAUCUUUUACAAUGCCAAGUUUAAUACAAAACUUCAACCGUGAUAGGAUACUAGAUAAUUUACAAUCACAAAAGACUUCAUGUUAACUCCCUAAACUCUCUCAUUCGUUUCUCGACUACCAACUUCUGUAAAAAAAAUAAACUACAAGGUUGAGCUAAAACUCAGUGAGAUUUGCCGAACAAGUAACAUUCAAUAAACACUUAAAUCAGUACAAUUAAGUAAGUAGUGCAUAUUUCACUGUAUAAUCACUUUAAAAAGGAUACAAACUCCUCCUGGGAGUCAUUUCAAUAUCACUGUACAUUCAUUUCAGUGUCGCGAUACAUUUAUUUCAAUAUCAUUGCACACUUCGCCAAUUCACCCCCUUAUGUCCUCCAAAACAAUAAACAAUCUCCCAUAUACAAUAAUCAGUGCAAUAAUCUCUCAACUUCAGGGUAAUACUCGAGUAUACCGAAACAGUUACCCAAAUCGUCCGUCCUAUCCGACCAAACCCUUUGCUGGCUCGAAUAGUCCGUUGAACAGAGAGUUUUGGGGUCCAGUUCAGUCGAUGUGGUAAAGUACACAUACAGCUUACAUUCAUGCACACUUACAGUAAUAUUUGGUCAAUUAUCAACCUUCAAACUCAAAUAAGCCGAGGGCCUAAAAAUUACACCCCCGACUUAGAAGGCGAGAGAUAAUUGGGAUACACUUUACAAUGAAUCACUAGCAAUAUUUCAUAAUAAGCACAUUUAUCGCAUAAUUUCACUUACAUAUAUAUAAGCAGUUAAAUACACAAAUUCGAAACACUCACAAAAUACCCAAAUAGAUUACUCUCGAGUCUCGAAUUUGUUUCCUGACUCACAGCUACUUCCUGAGAAAAGUUCAUAAUUCCAAAGUAAAUAUAUAAUUUAUAGAUGUUCACCUAUUAUUUAUUAUCCUAUUAUUUAAAUUAUUAGAAUCAAGUUUGUCUUUAAAAUAUAAAAUAUAAUUUAUUCAAUAUUUAUUCUACAUUUCAUUUUGAGACUUAUUGACUUUAUCAUUUUAAACCAAGAAAUAUACGUAUUUUCCAAGUUUAUAAUUUAUAAAAUAUUUAAAUUAGGAUUAAACUAUUUUCUACUCACGAUUCUAAGAUUAAAGUUUAGGAAUACUCCAUUGGUUCCCUUUUAAAUUAAUUAAACUCUAGGUUGUUUGUAAAUUAAAUUUUGUUUCACGAUACCAGCCACCCUUAGGUUCUAGGGUCUUUAAAAUGUUCUUGAAAACAAGAUUAAGUGAUUAGCAACCGUCUUAUGUAUCUAAUUGUAAUAAGUUGCCUUAAGGUUUCCAAAUAUUACAGGAGUUCACUUCAUUACUAUAUUAGCUGUUAAAUCAAGUUCUAGCAAUAUACUUCAUAAUUUUCAUCAAUAUUUCAUCUUCUACUUGGUAAAAUAUUAAUCACUCAGUAUUUACCCUGUCCCUGCUGAAGUUGAAUCAAAUAACGUGUACUAUUUACGCAUAAACCCAACAAAACAACAUUAAGUUCCAUUUUUAGAUAAAUGUAACUUCCUAGCAAUAUACAUAGUCCAGCAUUCAUUGUUUCCCUUAAAUCCUUCCUUUUAAUCUCAUGUCCCAACUAGACAAGUUAAUUACAUUUAUUAAGCUACAAAGUAGCCUUAUACAGAACGUGGAAAGUUUUGCAGCUAACUUAGAGGAAAAGACUGAUCAACUCUUCCUUCUUUCUCUCGGCCAUAAGGUAAUUCAGCAGCACAUUUCAUAGUUUUCCUCUCAUUUGCCUUAGUUUAACUCUACUCACAGAACUAGUCAUAGUCACUAAAUCACAGAGCAACCUUAGUUCUACCUGUGGAAGUUCACAGAGCCAGAAAUUAAAAGAAAGGCUGCUCUAAAAGCUUAUUUCCUUCCCCCUUUUUUUUUAUCAUAGCAGAUUGUACCAGCUUCCUUUUAUCAAAUUUUAGUUAAGCUUCCUGAAGUUUUCAUAUUUCCAAGGCACCUAUCUUUUAAGGUAAAGGAUUAACAUGUCUUCCAUGUAUUCAUUAAUAAGGAUUUCAGAAUCAGUAACAACAGGUCAUGUAACCUGCUUAAUUCCCUCAGACAACCAACCUGCAAUCAGUCGAAUGCACUUGUCCUACUAUGUUCACUUUAGUUUCUACUUGUUUUGGUCUUGCUUGUUGAAGUUUACGGUCUGCAUGACAUUUUACAUUUACUACACAGGUUUAAGAGCUAAAGUUUAUAGAGGACAACCAAAGUGUCCUUCUUUUCUCUUUCGGUUGCAGUCACUAAAUUUCCAGCAAAAUCGUAGUCUAUCAGUUGACAUUUUCUUACCUUUUCCUCCUCAAUUUUUGGUCUCAAUCACUCAUGCAGAAGAUACUUAAUUUGCUGCAGGUUAUCCUAAGCUAGACAGGGCAGUUCCUGACCAGAAUUCAGAGAAAAAUUGAAUAAAAUUACAAGGCUGCGCAAGACUGCUACAUCUGGUGCAUAGCAACCUGCACCAUAUUACUUUCAUGCCCACAGUUUCAAUUCUUUCAAGCUCUUACGGUUAAUCCUUCUUUUAUUACUUAAAGUGGACAUAAUUCAUGCAUUCCUAGCUGUAGUUUCCAUUUUUUUCUGAUAACUAGUCACACAAUUAGUACCUAUUUCACGGUUAUAAGUCAGAACUUCCUCUCAGCAAACUAUCGUUUCUAAACAAAAUUUCUCCGGCAACAAAACUUAGUUUUUCUUGGUUAGAUUCAGCAUAGACAACAUUCAAAUUCAAAUAUACCAGAUGAUUAAGAAGUUAUAUACAAAUUUUUCAUCAUUAAUGGACUAAAAUCCAAACAUCAGUUUUCAGUUUCUUCCAAAUCUGUCCAACAGUUUUAUCUCCUUCAAACAAAAUUUCACCUUAGCUAAAAGUCCAUUUCUUUACUAAAUUCUCAUGCAGCUCACAUGUUAAUCUAUUUAUACGGAAUGGACAGAAGAUUAUUGCAAGUUCUUACCUUUUCUCCUAAAGUUUGAUAUUGCAGGCUGUUGAAAUUUUUUGGUCCUGAUUCCUUAAGUCUUAACUCCAAUACCCCCUGCUUCCUUGCGACACCUUCCUUAUCUUUGGUUGUUUGGUGUUGAAGCUAGUUAUGCUCCUGCUCUCACUUUCUCUGUUUCGCUCUUUUUUCUCACUCCCUCUAUUUUUUCUCGAUGUUAGCUUGGUAAGGAGAGGAGCUGAAAUUUUGUUUUGCUCUCUGCCACCGCCCAAGUUUUUGCAGUUGGUUUUCUCUUUUUCCCCACUCGGUCACCGCUUGGAUUUGGCAAGCUAUUGGCAGAUGUUUCUCUUCAGUUUUGUCUUUAUUUAAAAAGCUUAAAGAUCAGGUGAAACAAAUACUACUCGGUGGUAAAAUUUUUCAUUCGGUGCUCACCCUUCAAAGCUGCUCUAUUUAGUGACUCACUCUCCAAAGCCGUCCUCCACUCGAUUUCAUGUUUGAGAAUUCUGAUGACUUGCUUGGCUGUAUGGUAGUUUAUUCGAAAUCCAAGGUUAAUUUGGUCUUUCAAUUCUAGCUCAUCUGCUUGCUAAUGGUCCGUAAUAUUUUUUUUCUAAAAUUUCAAUUUUGUAGGAAUUCAAUUAUACAUUUAAUUUAACCAUUUAUUUAUUAUAUAUAAUGUUUCUAAUAACAAAUUAAAUGUAAUGGGAUAAAUUCGAAGUGUACACAUGAAUUUUCGAGUUCUCACAUGCCACAUUCCGAAGUCGACUUCUUGUCGAAUUGUAUGAGUUGAUCAAUUUUAGUUUAGUCCAAGUUGUUUGAGUUCACACUGAAAAUUGUAAGAAUUAUAUCAAUCGGUUGAAACAGGAUAAAACUCAACUUAUGAGUCCAUUUCCAAUUUUCAAUUUAUAAGUUUUUUUUUCUAAAACAAAGAAUUUUAUUAAUGAGAUUGUUGGAUGUCGUCCCACAUGACUUGCUUGACAAAACUUAAUUGGAGAGGAAUUCCACAAAGAUUCUGAAAGGGUGGUAGUUAUUGCAUGAUAAGUUAAAUAAUGUGCAAUCUUAUUAGCCUCCUUUAAACUCAAAGUACAUCAACAACAUGGUAGUCUAAUAAAGUCAAGUGAAUAUUUUCAAUUAUCGGGCCAAAAGUAGAUAAAAGGUCUACCUCAUCAUUAAUGAAUUUGAUAAUUGAAGAUGCACUGCCAUCCAAAAUGAAGUUUGAAAUUCUUAGCAUCUUAGCUAGAUAAACUGCUUUUCUAACAACAAGGGGUUCAACAAGUUCAACAUUUAUAGAGCCCUCAUGACACUUUGAUAGACUAGCAAUGAACACACCAUCGUGUAAAAAGAAUCUUUGGAUCCUUUUAAGACCCAUUUCCCACUUGACCAUUUAGAAUCUUUGGAUAUUCUAAAUCUUGAAAUAUACGCACAGCAAACAAGAAAUCAUUACUUUUUUUUGUUGAAACGAUAGAUUCUAUUCUACAUCUACUCCUAUUCUGUACCAGGGGAGGGAGGGACUUAAAGAGAUCAAGGGAAACCCUUACUAGAAUUGUCUUUUUUUUCAGAACAUUUGGUCUAGCUUGUUGAAAGCAGGUUCUGUGUUCCUUUCAGACGGAAUUCCCACUUUUGUUUCUUUGGCCAUUGAUUGAAGAAUAUACUAGAUUUUUUUCUAAUUUUGAGAGACUUUGCCAAAUCUGUUGUACAUAUCUAAAUAAUAUAGAAUCUUUAUCAAAAGUUCAUAAAAGUUAUGUUCUCCCUUCAUGGGUGCCCAGAAACUGGCCGGUUGGGGUUGAAGAUACUGUAAGAAAAUAUAAACCAAGCAUUAGUAUUUUGUUUUCUUUAUUUAAUGGCAGCAUAUUGUUAGUUUUUUUUUAUCAGACAACAACAUCUAGUUUAGCAUACUCCUACUCUAGCCCACACUGAGGGGGAGGCCCAUUAAGGUCUAGAGAAAUCGAUGGAAACUGAACCACCAAAAGAUUUAGUGCAUCCGUAUGAAUUUAGAAGAAGUCACAUAUAGUGGCACAUUGAUGGACUCCUACUACUACUCUAACCUACAUUAGAAAGGGAAGAGAUCCAACAGGGCCUAGAGAAACCGAUGGAAACUGAACUAUCAUCAGACUAAACGGAUAUACUACGCAUCCGUAUAAAUUUAAAAGAAGUCACAUAUAGUGGCACAUUGAUGGGAGGUAAAAUUUGAACUCUUAAUCUCUCACCUCACCAAAACUUAAAAUUUUUGAUGAUAGACAACGGCCCUUUGAUUGGCUAAUAGAUUGGGGGCUAAAGAUGUUGUGGGAACAUAUGAGCCAAGCAUUAGUGGUUUGUUUUCUUUAUUUAGUGGCCGCGUGUUGUCAAUUGAUUUGCUAGUAGAUUUGGGUUGCAUGAUUGUUUUGUAUUCGGAACUGGUCGCGUGUUGUUAGUUGAUCUGCUAGAAAAUUUGGGUUGCAUGAUUGUUUUGCAUAUGUAAUGGCCAUGAUUGGGUUGCAUGAUUGUUUUGUAUUUGGGCCACGAGGGAUUAUUGUCAUUAAUGAUUAAUAGCAAUAAAAAUAGGAGUGGAGAGUAGAUGUGGUAAAAUGGAUACAUGAUUGGUAAAUGGUUUUACUUAAAUAAAUCAUGGAUAAAAUUCAUCCAAUCCAAUUAUAAUCAUUUAAUAAAUGGACCUAAAUGGAUAGGAUUUAAAUGGAAAAUAUAAAAUCAUGAUCCAACCAUUUAUCCAUUUAUUCUCCUAAGAAAUAAAAUUAUUCAUCCUACUCCAGCCACAGUUAGACAAUUAGAGUCCAGGCAAGUGAUCAAGUAUAGAGUAGUAGACUAAGCACUCUAGUAUUUUAUUCAUCACACAUACACACACGCACACACUCAUGAUUUCCACUUACACCCUCUCUUCUGAGUCUUGGAUCAAGUUCGGAAAUUUGAAUUCAAUUAUUCAAAUACUGGUGUGUACUAAUUAAAAGCAUUAACAGGUGAACCAAUUUAAAGUAACCUCAAAAUCUUGCUCCUAGUUAAUUCUUGAAUUGGAGUUAAAAACAAUCAAUUUGAACUCAAAAUUUAGAUCUAUAAGCUCAAUAAAUUCACUCAAAGACUUUCCUGUGGUGAUACGGUGGAAGAAGAAGCAAUUCGAAAGAUUUGAAGGGGAAUUAUUCUGUUAGCCAACAACAGAAAAUACUGAUGUUGUAGCGUGUAUUCAUUGCGUAAAAAAGGUCUCUCUCUAUGAGAGGCCGUUUCUCUUCUGUAGGUGUUCACGUUCUUCAUACCCUCCUCCGCAAAAUUCAAAUUUGGAUCCAUUUGCGUAGGCGUCAAGUAACAACCUUCCAUUAAUGGAAACUUACCAGAUUCAUUAAUGGAAGGAAACUUACUAGAUUCUUCUAUGGAAGGAAACUUACCAGAUUUUUCCAUCAGCUCUGGUUUAAGUUUUGGAGUGUCUAAGCGAUAGCAGCCGUAGUUUUCUUCGCAUUUUUUCUUUCCUCUUGAUCAAGAUGGGAUAGUAUUUUCUUUCUAGUUUGUUUUCUUCUGUUUUGAGUUCUGCUUCGUUUUGAUAGUUGAGAUAGAUUUUUUUCCUUUCUAUUUUUGUUAGGUUCUGUGAGUUCUGAAAUUUGUAAGAGGCAUUGAACAAGACUCUGUCUAUUCCUAUUUGUACUGGCCAGAGAGCUUCCUGGAAUAGACGGAGUGAUAUCUGUGGGAGGGACCAUGGAAAAUAUUGAAGAAAUGUUGAGAAGGUUUAAGUUGUCUGAGGAGGAAAAGGAGGAAAUUCGUUUGGAUGAGGAGGAGGUGGCAAAAGGAAUUCUGGAAUGUAAACAAAGCUUGAUUGGUGAGGUGUGGGGGGACAAGUUGGCAAUAUAGGGGGGAUCAAGAGCUUUACAACUAAUAUGUGGUCUUAGGUGAAAUAUUUAAAGGUUGUUAAGAUUGGCCAUAACCUAUUUCGGUUCAUUUUUGAUAAGGAAAGGGAUAUCGAGAUGGUGUUGAGUAGGAAGCCAUGGAUCUAUGAUGGCCAACCUUUAAUACUGAAGAGGUGGGAGGCUAGUUUGGAGGAGGGUGAGAAAACGCUAAGUAGAACUCUUAUCUGGGUACAGAUCUGGAAUAUACCAUUACACUGGGUGACGAAGAAAGCUGGAAGGAAGAUAGGCAGUAUAUUUUCAAAAGUGGAAGAGGUGAUUCUGCCCCAGAGUGGAGGGAAAGAAGGUAAACACUUGAAAUUUUUGGUGGAAAUUGACCUGUUUAUUCCACUUAAUAGCAAUGGUGGAAAGAGAUGGCUUGAGUUCAAAUACGAAAAAUGUCCAGAUUUUUGUUUUGGAUGUGGUCUAAUUGGUCAUAGUGAAAAGAACAGUAGCAAAAAAGGAAUGAACAUGGGGAGGGAACCACAGUUUAGGAAUUGGCUAAGAGCAAGCUAUCCUCGUAGUCCUAAUAGGAGGACUAGGAGUGGAGAUAGGAGUGGGCAUAGGGAUGAGGAGAUGAAUCAAACACAGGACAACAGGGGGGAAGUAGGGGGGAACAUAAGCUUUAACAUACACUGAAGAAUUUCACAAGAAAGAGGAUCCAAAACAGGCUACUCAGGGGGAAUGGUAUAGGGACACUGCAGAGAUAAGGGAAGAGGAGAAGAUGGUACUGGUAGAAAGGGGGACUGAAGAGAUUGCAAAGGAAAAGAGGGAGGGGAGUCAGGGAAAGGGAGGGAUAGAGGAGGCCAGGAAUAGAGAUUCUGGAGGGGGAACAGGCUGAUAGAGGAGUGGAGACACAUGGAUUUGCAGGGGGGAUAGGGUCAGAGGGAGUAAGGGAAGAAUCUGAUGAUCUGAUGUGGCUGGAUGGUGUUGGAAGGGAGGGAAAUGAGGAUAAGAAUGCCAAGGAAGAAGAGGAAGGGAGAGAGGGGGAGGUAGUAUCUGAGGUGGGGGAAAGAAGAGGUAGGCUGGUUAAGGAGAAGAGCGGGAGUAAAGGGAACUAUACGGGUGGUAAGAGCUGGAAGAGAUUGGUACUGGAGGUAAGCAAGAGAAAACCAUUGGGAGAGGUCAAUAGAAAGGUUGCUGGAAUUGAGAAGGGAAAGAGAAAGAUGGAAGGGAGGGACUGGGAAGAGGCAGUGAAUCAGACAGGCAAGGAAAAUGGGAAGAGGAUCAGGCUUGAGAAUGAACUGAGUGACUGGAUGGAUCUAACUAAGGAGUUGGAGUCCUCCCUAAAUAGGACUCAAAUGUAGAAAUGAAGGUUGUGAUGUGAAACUGGUGUGGAGAGCCCCUUGACAGUUCCCUAACUGAGGGAGGUCAUCAGACUCCACUCUCCUUCUCUAGUGUUCUUGUCAGAACAAAGAAGAAAAAAAGCUAUAUGCAUAAAGUAAAGCAAUGGACAAAAUUUGAUAAUGUUUUUGUGGUUGAUCCUGUGGGUAAGGCAGGAGGUUUAGCUGUAUUAUGGAAACAGGAACUAACGGUGAAAAAGGUGCUGUUUACAAGCUUCACUAUAGAGUUAUUAAUAGAAGAUGUUGAAACUAGAGUAAACUGGUGAUGUAUCUGUGUUUAUGCGAGCUCUGAUGCUGGUGUUAGAAGAGAACAGUGGAAGGUUGUAACCAGAAGAAGUGUCUUGUGGGAUGAGUAUUGGGCAGUCAUGGGGAAUUUAAAUGACAUUACUUCUAAUGAAGAGAAGUGGGGGGUAUUCAGAGAGCUGAGGUAAGAUUCCAAGACUUCAACUCUUUUAUAAAUACUAAUGAGUUAGUUGAUAUUGGGUUUGAAGGGAUUCCUUGAACCUGGUAUAAUAACUGGGGGAAUGAGGGAGAAAUGAAGGAAAGGUUAAAUAGAAUUUUGGGUUCUAGAGGCUGGAUAGGGAUGUUUGAUAAGGCUAAAUGUCUACAUGUUGAAACUGAGGCUUCUAACCAUUGUAUGCUAGUUUUGGACACAAAGCCAGUGGGAAGGAAAUGGAAGAGAAGGUUCAUGUUUGAUAGAAGAUGGAUGAUGCAGAAGGAUAUAAGGGAGGUUAUUGGGAAAGCCUGGGGUGAGGAGCAACAGGGAUCCAGAUUGUAUAAAGUAAAAUGUAAGAUAAAAAAGGUUAGAAUGGAUUUGCUGAGUUGGAGUAAAGAGAGUCGUUGGAACUCAAAAAAAUAGAUUGAGCAAGUAAAGAGGGAGAUUGAGGAGAUGAAGGAGCACAAGCCUUGUGGCUAUAUGAUCAAGCUAGCAGGCCUAAAAAGAAAGUUAGCUGAUGCUUAUAAGAGGGAAGAGCUUUUCUGGAGUCAGAAGGCAAGGGUAAAAUGGCUUAAAGAAGGUGAUAGGAAUACUAGCUUCUUUCAUGCAUCUGUUGUUGGGAGGAGGAAGCGGAAUAGAAUUAGUUGGUUACAGAAAAGGAGUGGGGAAUGGUGUGAGAAUGAGGAGGAAUCAAGGAAGGAAAUUAUUGACUAUUUCCAGGAUAUUUACACUUCAGAAAAUCCAAUGGAUUUUGCUGAGAUUUUUCAAGGUGUCCCACAGACAGUCACUCCGGAGAUGAACAGGAAGUUGACCAGGCCUGUCACAGAAUAGGAAAUCAGACAAGCUGUCUUCUCAAUGCAACCAAACAAGUCUCCAGGACCAGAUGAUAUGCCUCCUUACUUUUUCCAAAAAUUUUGGCAAAUAGUUAAAUCUGAUAUAGUUGAUGUUGUCCAAAGCUUUUUACAUUCUGGUCACCUUCUGAAGUCUAUUAAUGAGACCUUAAUCAGCCUUAUCCCUAAGACUGAGAAUCCAAUAUCUAUUACUGAGUUUAGGCCCAUUAGUUUAUGUAAUAUCAUUUAUAAAAUCAUUUCUAAAGUGCUGACUAGCAGGUUUAAGAGUGUUCUGAACGUUUGUAUUAGUGAGUCCCACUCUGC
rnacentral:lncRNA from 1 species